AGGGUUUGGCAGUGGCAAAUGACAAGUGAAACUCGGUGGCGCCGGAUUGACAGAAUCGGUAUGACCGAGUUUGGCUUAGGGUUUAGGUCAUUUGUGGAUAUGGGAAAGUAGCUGAGGAUUUUGGAGCAUAUCACUAAGCACAUAAAGCAAGAGGCUCAUUAAGCAACACCUCAUCCCUCCUUGAUAGUAUUGGCUUUUCCUAAAGACUCAAUGUGAUCUUGGAUCACUAAAAUAUAAAAUGAAGAGUCUUGAACUUUUGAGCUUGAGCCAAUUCUUGUCCUUAGCAUUUUGAGGGUUCCACUUUCACAUCCAUGCCAUGCCAAUCAUUGAGCUUUCCUGAAAUAAUCAUCUUGAAAUAGCAUUAGCUCAAUGAGCUAUAUGUUGUUAUGAAUUACCAAAACCACCUAGGGAUAGUUGCACUUUCAAUCUCCCCCUUUUUGGUAAUUGAUGACAACAUAUAGAUCAAAGCUUCGACAAAUGAUAAUAAGCAUGAAAUAUAUCGUCACUUUGAGUAGUAUGUGACAAAAAAGAGCUCCCCCUAAAUUUGUGCAUAUUUAAAAUUUGCUUUGGACUGCAAAUGCACAUGGAGUUAGAAUCAUGGGUUACUCUUCCAUGUCACAUACAUCUUGGUGGAGCGCUCAAAAAUGAUAAGAUUGAAAUGCAUGCACUCAUCACCAAGAAUAGUGAAUGAUCACAGACAAUAGAUAGAAUGAUAAUAUAUAAGCAAGCAUUAGGCAAACAUUAAGUGUAGCUUAUGAUCAAACACAUGAUCAUCGAUGUCUCACGAGCAUAAGGACGUAGUAUCUCACACACAAGCAAACAAAGUUCGAAAACCACCAAAUAAAAUAAGAGAGAAAAGGCAACACUCUCUCUCUCUCUCUCUCUCAGCCUAUGAUCUAUACAUCUUCUCCCCCUUUGGCAACAAGUUACCAAAAAGUUCCUAGAAAAUGCAUAGUGCUAAGUCGACGCUCAGGCUUGAUCUUCAGGUGGUGGUGGAGUCCAGAGCACGCCAAGGACGAAGCCUUCAGUAGAAGUGGUCGGAGUCGAGGCUGAAGUGGAUGCUGGAGCUGGUGGAACGGAGGCUGUAGCUGGUGCAGACGUUGUAGCUCUAGUGGCAGCAACUGGCAGUGCAGACGACCUCGGACCUCGUGGCACCCUUGCAAACGCAUCAGUUGUGGUCCUGCCUCUCCUCUCAUUCAUGUCCUCCUGAAGCUGCUCCACGGCGGUCUGUAUUUCUGUUACCUUGAUGUCCAUGUCAUAGAACCUCUGUUCCAUGAUCCUCUCUAGGCUUGCCUGGUUCUAAGUCAGGGUGGCAAGUCCUUGCUCAAUACGCAGGGUGGACGCUAUCAGGUAACCGCGCUGCUCUUGCUUCGUCUUCAAGAAGUAAUCAGAUGCCUCUGCUUGAGUAGGCAUCCUGGCAGCUUUUUCCUUCCUCGCCUUCUCCUUCUGAGCUUGUGCAUGUGCAGAUGAGGGUUCAUUUUCAGUCAUAACCACUUGGUUAUACUCGAAAUCUGGACGGAUGGGCAGGUGUUCCUUAUCCAAUAAAUACACGCCCGUUCCCAUCUUGGAGUUGAUGAGCUCCUGAAUCUGUGGGGCAUACCCACAACUCCUCUUCUGAUCUGCAGCUGUCCUCUUGAUUGUUUCCACAAUGAGACUCAUGACCUUGAAUUUCUGAGGCACGUCAAAUACAUGAAGCAAGUUGAUCGCGUGACCUCUGAUCAUCUUGUGAUCUCCUGAUUUGGGUAGAAGGGUGUGCCUAAGGAUCCAGUUGAUCGUAGGCAAUCCUGAGAGCAGAUAGUGCACGGAGCCAAACUUGAACGUGUCAAGCGCUUCAUUCGGGAUCUCCUUGUACAUGUUGGACAUGUAGUUGUGAUCCAUCUUUUUCUUGGCAUAGAUGUCCAAGUCAUCAGCUUGCUCCUCUGGGGCAUUGAUAGACUUCGCCCAUUCUGCCACAGUGGAUUGGUACCUCGUACCCUCAGACAUCCAUGUGAUCUUGCCAUCCGGAUAAAAGUGUGCUGUGGAGUAGAAUUGCAUGAUCAGCUCCUCGUUCCACUUUGUGAGCUUUUGCCCAACAAAGUCUGCAACUCCACACGCACUAAAGCUGUCAAAAACACCGGGGUAGUGCUCUUCAUUGUCCUUGAUGUAGGUCCAGUCGACCCAUCUCAUGUCACAAACGAUCGGCUUCUUAUCAAGCAAAACAGUCUCAUAGAAAUCUUGUUGCUCCUUGGUGUGAAAUCUGUAAUCCACGACAGUCCUUCUCCUAGAAGCAUACGGAUCUGCUUCUCUCCAUUUCCUCAGCCCUGAAUCCCUCCUGAGCUUCAUAUCCUCAGCCACAGGAUGAGCAUCGUUGUGGUCUGGGAUGUUGGGCUUGAGCUUCCUGAGAACACUUUCUUCCUCUUCUUUGAUUGCUUCAGGCAUUGGGGCCUUGUUCUUUUCUGCAGCUGGGAUGCUUCGUGUGUUUCUCUUGGGUGCACUCUUAGGCUUAGAUGCAGCCUUAGGUGCUUCCUUGGGCUUGGAUGCAGCUGUUCUUGACCUUAUAGCAUCUCCCAUGAGUUUGGCUGCCUUGGGUGCUGGUGCAGCAACCUCUUCUUCUUCUUCUUCUUCCUCCUCAUCUACCAUGAUGGAGGCCUUCCCAAGCACUCUGGCUACAGUCUUUUUCACCCUCUCUUUCCUUUUCUUGCCCUCAGCAGCAAUGGGCUCAGUGGGAGCAGGCUUCACAGUUGAAGCUCUAGCCUUUGACAUGGGCUGCCUGCCUGCUGGCCUUUUGAUCUUUAGCCCUGGCUUGGUACCUGCUGCUGGCUCAGCUCUCUUUGAUGUGGCCUCUUCCUCUGCCACAUAGUCUUCAUCCUCAGAAUCAGACGUUCUCUUCUUCCUUUGACGUGUGGCAGCCUUGGGCAGAUUGCUGGGGUGCUCCUGUUGGGGAACGCAGUAAUUUCGAAAAUUUUCCUACGCACACGCAAGAUCAUGGUGAUGCACAGCAAUGAGAGGGGAGAGUGUUGUCUACGUACCAACACAGACCGAUUGCGGAAGCGAUCACACAAUGUAGAGGAAGUAGUCGUACGUCUUCUUCCCGAUCCGACCGAUCCAAGCACCGUUACUCCGGCACCUCCGAGUUCUUAGCACACGUACAGCUCGAUGACGUUCCUCGGGCUCCGAUCUAGCAAAGCGUCGAGGAAGAGUUCCGUCAGCACGACGGCGUGAUGACGAUCUUGAUGUACUACCGACGCAGGGCUUCGCCUAAGCACUACAACGGUACGAUCGAGGUGGAAUUUGGUGGCAGGGGGCACCGCACACGGCUAAGGAACGAUCUCAAGGAUCAAGUUGUGUGUCUUGGGGUGCCCCCUGCCCCCGUAUAUAAAGGUUGGGGAAGGGGGAGCCGGCCGGCCAAGGGAGAGGAGGCGCAGGGGAGUCCUACUCCCACCGGGAGUAGGACUCCUCCCCCCAAUCCUAAUCCUAUUAGGACUCCCGGGGGGAAAAAGAGAGAGAAGGGGGGCCGGCCCCUAUCCUAGUCCUACUAGGACUUGGGCAAGGGGGGCGCCGGCCAGCUUGUGGGUUUUUCCCUUUUUCUCUUUUUCCACUAAGGCCCAAUAGGCCCAUUAGUCUCCCGGGGGGUUCCGGUAACCCUCCCGGUAUUCCGGUAAAAUCCCGAUUUCACCCGGAACACUUCCUAUGUCCAAACAUAGGCUUCCAAUAUAUCAAUCUUUACGUCUCGACCAUUUCGAGACUCCUCGUCAUGUCCGUGAUCUCAUCUGGGACUCCUAACAACCUUCGAUACAUCAAAAUGCAUAAACUCAUAAUAACUGUCAUCGUAACGUUAAGCGUGCGGACCCUAUGGUUCGAGAACAAUGUAGACAUGACCGAGACACGUCUCCGGUCAAUAACCAAUAGCGGGACCUGGAUGCCCAUAUUGGCCCCCACAUAUUCUACGAAGAUCUUUAUCGGUCAGACCGCAUAACAACAUACGUUGUUCCCUUUGUCAUCGGUAUGUUACUUGCCCGAGAUUCGAUCGUCGGUAUCCAAUACCUAGUUCAAUCUCGUUACCGGCAAGUCUCUUUACUCGUUCCGUAAUACAUCAUCUCACAACUAACAUAUUAGUUGCAGUGCUUGCAAGGCUUAUGUGAUGUGCAUUACCGAGAGGGCCCAGAGAUUCGAUCGUCGGUAUCCAAUACCUAGUUCAAUCUCGUUACCGGCAAGUCUCUUUACUCGUUCCGUAAUACAUCAUCUCACAACUAACAUAUUAGUUGCAGUGCUUGCAAGGCUUAUGUGAUGUGCAUUACCGAGAGGGCCCAGAGAUACCUCUCCGACAAUCGGAGUGACAAACCCUAAUCUUGAAAUACGCCAACCCAACAUCUACCAUUGGAGACACCUGUAGUACUCCUUUAUAAUCACCCAGUUACGUUGUGACGUUUGGUAGUACCCAAAGUGUUCCUCCGGUAAACGGGAGUUGCAUAAUCUCAUAGUUAUAGGAACAUGUAUAAGUCAUGAAGAAAGCAAUAGCAACAUACUAAAUGAUCGGAUGCUAAGCUAAUGGAAUGGGUCAUGUCAAUCAGAUCAUUCUACUAAUGAUGUGACCUCGUUAAUCAAAUAACAACUCUUUGUUCAUGGUUAGGAAACAUAACCAUCUUUGAUUAACGAGCUAGUCAAGUAGAGGCAUACUAGUGACACUCUGUUGGUCUAUGUAUUCACACAUGUAUUAUGUUUCCGGUUAAUACAAUUCUAGCAUGAAUAAUAAACAUUUAUCAUGACAUAAGGAAAUAAAUAAUAACUUUAUUAUUGCCUCUAGGGCAUAUUUCCUUCAGUCUCCCACUUGCACUAGAGUCAGUAAUCUAGAUUACACAGUAAUUAUUCUAACACCCAUGGAGCCUUGGUGCUGAUCAUGUUUUGCUCGUGGAAGAGGCUUAGUCAACGGGUCUGCAACAUUCAGAUCCGUAUGUAUCUUGCAAAUCUCUAUGUCUCCCACCUGGACUAAAUCCCGGAUGGAGUUGAAGCGUCUCUUGAUGUGUUUGGUCCUCUUGUGAAAUCUGGAUUCCUUUGCCAAGGCAAUUGCACCAGUAUUGUCACAGAAGAUUUUCAUUAGACCCGAUGCACUAGGUAUGACACCUAGAUCGGAUAUGAACUCCUUCAUCCAGACUCCUUCGUUUGCUGCUUCCGAAGCAGCUAUGUACUCCGCUUCACAUGUAGAUCCCGCUACGACGCUUUGUUUAGAACUGCACCAACUGACAGCUCCACCGUUUAAAGUAAACACGUAUCCGGUUUGCGAUUUAGAAUCGUCCGGAUCAGUGUCAAAGCUUGCAUCAACGUAACCUCUUACGGUGAGCUCUUUGUCACCUCCAUAUACGAGAAACAUAUCCUUAGUCCUUUUCAGGUAUUUCAGGAUGUUCUUGACCGCUGUCCAGUGAUCCAUUCCUAGAUUACUUUGGUACCUCCCUGCUAAACUUAUAGCAAGGCACACAUCAGGUCUGGUACACAGCAUUGCAUACAUGAUAGAGCCUAUGGCUGAAGCAUAGGGAACAUCUUUCAUUUUCUCUCUAUCUUCUGCAGUGGUCGGGCAUUGAGUCUUACUCAAUUUCAUACCUUGUAACACAGGCAAGAACCCUUUCUUUGCUUGAUCCAUUUUGAAUUUCUUCAAAAUCUUGUCAAGGUAUGUGCUUUGUGAAAGUCCAAUUAAGCGUCUUGAUCUAUCUCUAUAGAUCUUUAUGCCUAAUAUGUAAGCAGCUUCCCCGAGGUCUUUCAUCGAAAAACUUUUAUUCAAGUAUCCCUUUAUGCUAUCCAGAAAUUCUAUAUCAUUUCCAAUUAGCAAUAUGUCAUCCACAUAUAAUAUCAGAAAUGCUACAGAGCUCCCACUCACUUUCUUGUAAAUACAGGCUUCUCCAAAAGUCUGUAUAAAGCCAAAUGCUUUGAUCACACUAUCAAAGCGUUUAUUCCAACUCCGAGAUGCUUGCACCACUCCAUAAAUGGAUCGCUGGAGUUUGCAUACUUUGUUAGCUCCCUUUGGAUCGACAAAACCUUCUGGUUGCAUCAUAUACAACUCUUCUUCCAGAAAUCCAUUCAGGAAUGCAGUUUUGACAUCCAUCUGCCAAAUUUCAUAAUCAUAAAAUGCGGCAAUUGCUAACAUUAUUCUGACGGACUUAAGCAUCGCUACGGGUGAGAAGGUCUCAUCGUAGUCAACUCCUUGAACUUGUCGAAAACCUUUCGCGACAAGUCGAGCUUUAUAGACAGUAAUAUUACCGUCAGCGUCAGUCUUUUUCUUGAAGAUCCAUUUAUUCUCAAUUGCUUGCCGAUCAUCGGGCAAGUCAACCAAAGUCCAUACUUUGUUUUCAUACAUGGAUCCCAUCUCAGAUUUCAUGGCCUCAAGCCACUUUGCGGAAUCUGGGCUCACCAUCGCUUCUUCAUAGUUCGUAGGUUCAUCAUGCUCUAGCAUCAUGACUUCCAGAACUGGAUUACCGUACCACUCUGGUGCGGAUCUCACUCUGGUUGAUCUACGUGGUUCAGUAGUGUCUUGUUCUGAAGCUUCAUGAUUAUCAUCAUUGGCUUCCUCACUGAUUGGUAUAGGUGUCGCAGAAACAAUUUUCUGUGAUGUACUAUUUUCCAAUAAGGGCGCAGGUACAGUUACCUCGUCAAGUUCUACUUUCCUCCCACUCACUUCUUUCGAGAGAAACUCCUUCUCUAGAAAGUUUCUGAACUUAGCAACAAAAGUCUUGCCUUCGGAUCUGUGAUAGAAGGUGUAUCCAAUAGUUUCCUUUGGAUAUCCUAUGAAGACACACUUCUCCGAUUUGGGUUCGAGCUUAUCAGGUUGAAUCUUUUUCACAUAAGCAUCGCAGCCCCAAACUUUAAGAAACGACAACUUUGGUUUCUUGCCAAACCAUAGUUCAUAAGGUGUCGUCUCAACGGAUUUUGAUGGUGCCAUGUUUAACGUGAAUGCGGCCGUCUCUAAAGCAUAACCCCAAAACGAUAGCGGUAAAUCAGUAAGAGACAUCAUAGAUCGCACCAUAUCUAGUAAAGUACGAUUAUGACGUUCGGACACACCAUUACGUUGUGGUGUUCCGGGUGGCGUGAGUUGCGAAACUAUUCCACAAUUUUUCAAAUGUACACCAAACUCGUAACUCAAAUACUCUCCUCCACGAUCAGAUCGUAGAAACUUUAUUUUCUUGUUAUGAUGAUUUUCAACUUCACUCUGAAAUUCUUUGAACCUUUCAAAUGUUUCAGACUUAUGUUUCAUUAAGUAGAUAUACCCAUAUCUGCUUAAAUCAUCUGUGAAGGUGAGAAAAUAACGAUAUCCGCCACGAGCCUCAAUAUUCAUCGGACCACAUACAUCGGUAUGUAUGAUUUCCAAUAAAUCUGUUGCUCUCUCCAUAGUACCGGAGAACGGUGUUUUAGUCAUCUUGCCUAUGAGGCACGGUUCGCAAGUACCAAGUGAUUCAUAAUCAAGUGGUUCCAAAAGCCCAUCAGUAUGGAGUUUCUUCAUGCGCUUUACACCGAUAUGACCUAAACGGCAGUGCCACAAGUAAGUUGCACUAUCAUUAUUAACUUUGCAUCUUUUGGCCUCUACAUUAUGAAUAUGUGUAUCACUAUCUUCGAGAUUCAACAAGAACAGACCACUCUUCAAGGGUGCAUGACCAUAAAAGAUAUUAUUCAUAUAAAUAGAACAACCAUUAUUCUUUGAUUUAAAUGAAUAACCGUCUCGCAUUAAACAAGAUCCAGAUAUAAUGUUCAUGCUCAACGCUGGCACCAAAUAACAAUUAUUUAGGUCUAAUAUUAAUCCCGAAGGUAGAUGUAGAGGUAGCGUGCCGACCGCGAUCACAUCGACUUUGGAACCGUUUCCCACGCGCAUCGUCACCUCGUCCUUUGCUAGCGUCCGCUUAUUCUGUAGUCCCUGUUUCGAGUUGCAAAUAUUAGCAACAGAACCAGUAUCAAAUACCCAGGUGCUACUGCGAGCUCUAGUAAGGUACACAUCAAUAACAUGUAUAUCACAUAUACCUUUGCUCACUUUGCCAUCCUUCUUAUCCGCCAAAUACUUGGGGCAGUUCCGCUUCCAGUGACCAGUCUGCUUGCAGUAGAAGCACUCAGUUUCAGGCUUAGGUCCAGACUUGGGUUUCUUCUCCUGAGCAGCAACUUGCUUGCUGUUCUUCUUGAAGUUUCCCUUCUUCUUCCCUUUGCCCUUUUUCUUGAAACUACUGGUUUUGCUAACCAUCAACACUUGAUGCUCCUUCUUGAUUUCUACCUCCGCAGCUUUCAGCAUUGCGAAGAGCUCGGGAAUAGUCUUGUUCAUCCCUUGCAUAUUAUAGUUCAUCACGAAGCUCUUGUAGCUUGGUGGUAGUGAUUGGAGAAUUCUGUCAAUGACGCAGUCAUCUGGAAGAUUAACUCCCAUCUGAAUCAAGUGAUUAUUAUACCCAGACAUCUUGAGUAUAUGCUCACUGACAGAACUGUUCUCCUCCAUCUUACAGCUAUAGAACUUAUUGGAGACUUCAUAUCUCUCAAUUCGGGCAUUUGCUUGAAAUAUUAACUUCAACUCCUGGAACAUCUCAUAUGCUCCAUGACGUUCAAAACAUCGUUGAAGUCCCGAUUCUAAGCCGUAAAGCAUGGCACACUGAACUAUCGAGUAGUCAUCAGCUUUGCUCUGCCAGGCGUUCAUAACAUCUGGCGUUGCUCUAGCAGCAGGCCUGUCACCCAGCGUUGCUUCCAGGACGUAAUUCUUCUGUGCAGCAAUGAGGAUAAUCCUCAGGUUAUGGACCCAGUCCGUGUAGUUGCUACCAUCAUCCUUCAACUUUGCUUUCUCAAGGAACGCAUUAAAAUUCAACGGAACAAUAGCAUGAGCCAUCUAUCUACAAUCAACAUAAACAAGCAAGAUACUAUCAGGUACUAAGUUCAUGAUAAGUUUAAGUUCAGUUAAUCAAAUUACUUAGGAACUCCCACUUAGAUAGACAUCCCUCUAAUCUUCUAAGUGAUCACGUGAUCCAAAUCAACUAAACCAUAACCGAUCAUCACGUGAGAUGGAGUAGUUUUCAAUGGUGAACAUCGUUAUGUUGAUCAUAUCUACCAUAUGAUUCACGCUCGACCUUUCGGUCUCUGUGUUCCGAGGACAUAUCUUUAUAUGCUUGGCUCGUCAAGUAUAACCUGAGUAUUCUGCGUGUGCAACUGUUUUGCACCCGUUGUAUUUGGACGUAGAGCUUAUCACACCCGAUCAUCACGUGGUGUCUGGGCACGACGAACUUUGGCAACGGUGCAUACUCAGGGAGAACACUUCUUGAUAAUUUAGUGAGAGAUCAUCUUAUAAUGCUACCGUCAAUCAAAGCAAGAUAAGAUGCAUAAAAGGAUAAACAUCACAUGCAAUCAAUAUAAGUGAUAUGAUAUGGCCAUCAUCAUCUUGUGCUUGUGAUCUCCAUCUUCGAAGCACCGUUAUGAUCACCAUCGUCACCGGCGCGACACCUUGAUCUCCAUCGUAGCAUCGUUGUCGUCUCGCCAAUCUUAUGCUUCCACGACUAUCACUACCGUUUAGUAAUAAAGUAAAGCAUUACAUCGUGAUUGCAUUGCAUACAAUAAAGCGACAACCAUAUGGCUCCUGCCAGUUGCCGAUAACUCGGUUACAAAACAUGAUCAUCUCAUACAAUAAAAUCAGCAUCAUGUCUUGACCAUAUCACAUCACAACAUACCCUGCAAAAACAAGUUAGACGUCCUCUACUUUGUUGUUGCAAGUUUUACGUGGCUGCUACGGGCUUAAGUAAGAACUCAUCUCACCUACGCAUCAAAACCACAACGAUAGUUCGUCAAAUAGACUCCGUUUUAACCUUCUCAAGGACCGGGCGUAGUCACACUUGGUUCAACUAAACUUGGAGAGGCAGUCUUCCGCAAGCCAUCUGUGUGCAAAGCACGUCGAGGGAACCGGUCUCGCGUAAGAGUACGCGUAAGGUUGGUCCGGAUCGUCUCACCCAACAAUACCGCCGAACCAAAGUAUGACAUGCUGGUAGGCAGUAUGACUUGUAUCGCCCACAACUCACUUGUGUUCUACUCGUGCAUAUAACAUCAAACCAUAAAACCUAGGCUCGGAUGCCACUGUUGGGGAACGCAGUAAUUUCGAAAAUUUUCCUACGCACACGCAAGAUCAUGGUGAUGCACAGCAAUGAGAGGGGAGAGUGUUGUCUACGUACCAACGCAGACCGACUGCGGAAGCGAUCACACAACAUAGAGGAAGUAGUCGUACGUCUUCUUCCCGAUCCGACCGAUCCAAGCACCGUUACUCCGGCACCUCCGAGUUCUUAGCACACGUACAGCUCGAUAACGUUCCUCGGGCUCCGAUCUAGCAAAGCGUCGAGGAAGAGUUCCGUCAGCACGACGGCGUGAUGACGAUCUUGAUGUACUACUGACGCAGGACUUCGCCUAAGCACUACAACGGUACGAUCGAGGUGGAAUUUGGUGGCAGGGGGCACCGCACACGGCUAAGGAACGAUCUCAAGGAUCAAGUUGUGUGUCUUGGGGUGCCCCCUGCCCCCGUAUAUAAAGGUUGGGGAAGGGGGAGCCGGCCGGCCAAGGGAGAGGAGGCGCAGGGGAGUCCUACUCCCACCGGGAGUAGGACUCCUCCCCCCAAUCCUAAUCCUAUUAGGACUCCCGGGGGGAAAAAGAGAGAGAAGGGGGGCCGGCCCCUAGCCUAGUCCUACUAGGACUUGGGGAAGGGGGGCGCCGGCCAGCUUGUGGGUUUUUCCCUUUUUCUCUUUUUCCACUAAGGCCCAAUAGGCCCAUUAGUCUCCCGGGGGGUUCCGGUAACCCUCCCGGUAUUCCGGUAAAAUCCCGAUUUCACCCGGAACACUUCCUAUGUCCAAACAUAGGCUUCCAAUAUAUCAAUCUUUACGUCUCGACCAUUUCGAGACUCCUCGUCAUGUCCGUGAUCUCAUCCGGGACUCCGAACAACCUUCGAUACAUCAAAAUGCAUAAACUCAUAAUAACUGUCAUCGUAACGUUAAGCGUGCGGACCCUACGGUUCGAGAACAAUGUAGACAUGACCGAGACACGUCUCCGGUCAAUAACCAAUAGCGGGACCUGGAUGCCCAUAUUGGCUCCCACAUAUUCUACGAAGAUCUUUAUCGGUCAGACCGCAUAACAACAUACAUUGUUCCCUUUGUCAUCGGUAUGUUACUUGCCCGAGAUUCGAUCGUCGGUAUCCAAUACCUAAUUCAAUCUCGUUACCGACAAGUCUCUUUACUCGUUCCGUAAUACAUCAUCUCACAACUAACAUAUUAGUUGCAGUGCUUGCAAGGCUUAUGUGAUGUGCAUUACCGAGAGGGCCCAGAGAUACCUCUCCGACAAUCGGAGUGACAAACCCUAAUCUCGAAAUACGCCAACCCAACAUCUACCAUUGGAGACACCUGUAGUACUCCUUUAUAAUCACCCAGUUACGUUGUGACGUUUGGUAGUACCCAAAGUGUUCCUCCGGUAAACGGGAGUUGCAUAAUCUCAUAGUUAUAGGAACAUGUAUAAGUCAUGAAGAAAGCAAUAGCAACAUACUAAACGAUCGGAUGCUAAGCUAAUGGAAUGGGUCAUGUCAAUCAGAUCAUUCUACUAAUGAUGUGACCUCGUUAAUCAAAUAACAACUCUUUGUUCAUGGUUAGGAAACAUAACCAUCUUUGAUUAACGAGCUAGUCAAGUAGAGGCAUACUAGUGACACUCUGUUGGUCUAUGUAUUCACACAUGUAUUAUGUUUCCGGUUAAUACAAUUCUAGCAUGAAUAAUAAACAUUUAUCAUGACAUAAGGAAAUAAAUAAUAACUUUAUUAUUGCCUCUAGGGCAUAUUUCCUUCAGCUCCUGCUGCCAUCAUCAGAAGAGCUUGAGGGACUAGUGCCCUCACUCAUCACUACUUGCUGCUCAGACACAUUCUGGCUGUCACUUUGAUCAGACAUGUUGCACACUGACUGCUGACCCUGUGCAUAGAUUAUGGAUAAGAUAGAGUGGAUGAGCAUCACAAAAAGCAGAGAUUUUUGCAAAAGAUUAAUUCAAAAACUUAGUUUUAGUUUUCCACAGAAAGCAUCUCGGAUCUACCGAUUUUCAAACUCAGUGACACCGAAGCAGUUUUGGCACCAGAAUUGGUGAACUCGGUCAGACCGAGUCACAGUUCGGUGGCACCGAGACUGCUAGGGUUUCAUAGAAUUCCAAAAUCGGUCGCACCGAUAAGUUAUUCUCGGUCAGACCGAGUUUCACUUGUGCAAUGGCAAAAGCCAGAUCGGUGGGAUCGAGUUUUUCAACUCGGUGGGUCCGAGAUGGUUUCGGCGGAAACCUAACCCUAAAAUUGUAGAAUUAAACCUAAUCUACCAGUUCAUUGACUGGAUAGGAGUGUUUCAAUCGUGGCAAGAAUCAUGAUGAUCGCAAUGUGCUAGGAAUCGGAGUGGAGAAUAGCACAAAGAUCGAGUCCAUACCCUAGUUCGGCGGAGACUCGCUACGGCGGCAACGGCGGGGCAGAAUUCCGUUGACGGCGGCGGAGACCAGCGACUGGAGGCUGCUGGCGACGAGAAGACGAUCCGGAGACCACGGAGGCAGAGCAGGCUAUCGCGCGGGCGAAGAGGUUUCGGAGAAAUUUCCAAAAUUUUGCCCGUCACUAUAUAUAGCCCGACCCUGUCGGUGUGACCGAGUGGAACAACUCGGUGGCACCGAGAUGCAAAACUGUGUGCAGUUAUUGCAACUCGGUGUGACCGAAAAGUUCAAAUCGGUUGCACCGAGAUUGAAAACCUAGAUCAACUUAAUGAACUCGGUAGGACCGAAAAUGGAGUAUCGGUCAGACCAAGAUUCAUAAAGAGGUUUUGGAAGUUUAAGUCUAUGACGAAUCGGGGACUCCGAGCGCUCCUCACACAGAGUGGUUCGAAUCUGACUAGAUCAAGUUUUGUGAUGCAGCAUGAAUAGAGUUUGAGACGAGAAAAGCAUAGAUAGGUAGAGGAGGUUCUUAGGCAUUCUUGUCCAUCCACUUGGCAAAAGGAAGAAAGCCGAACAAUCAAAACAACAAGUGGAUGUCCUCGAAUGAGUAAAAUACGCAACCAACAUGCUCACACAAUAAGAUGGCAAAUGAAAUAUGUGGCAAAGCAUGCACAACCAAUUCUAGCAUCUAUCAAGCAAUUUGCGAUGACUAGGUCAUCUAUAUAUGAGUAUAUUGACUUAGGAGUCAAGUGAGAACACUUGAUCGUAGGUCAUACUCAUCGUUUAAGCUCAAGUGGGGUUACCACUUUUACAUAAAGCAUUGUUGUAUUCACAUCUUUAGAGUUGCUUUAGCUCAAGUCUUAGAGUAAAGCUCCCCCUAGAUGUGAUAUCCCCCCUAAGAGGGAUGAACUAACCUUGGGUUUUGUCGAUGAUGACUUCAUGUAGAUGUUGAAGAUGUGGAUGCUCCAUGUUGAUGUAGAUCACUUGGAGCUAUCCAUUUGAGUGAAUUGCACUUUCAAUACCUACAUGGGUUAGUCCCACAAGGAACAAACAAGGAUAUCCAUAGACAUAGAGUGAUGCACACACAAGAUGAUGUCCAUGAAAACUUUAGGUUACCUUGUCCCUUGUCUUACCAACACGAGGGUUCGUGACUCCUUGAACUAGUGCAAGAUGUGGAAGUUGAUUGCACUUGUUCUUGCCAAAAUGAUAAGAGUGAAGUAUGUUGGCAGAGUCACCUUCAAGAACUCUCUAGUUCUUCUUCUUUUGGAUCCACACCAUCUUGAUGGGAAUCCUUGGAGUUCUUGUCGUACUUGAUGUAGUGGAACUUGAAGUAGUCUUGGGAAUCCACUUGACUAAGGUCUUGGGAGCUUCUUCAAAUGCAUCAAUCUCCUCUUGAAGCUUCUCCUUGCCUUUUAGCUUCUAGACUUGUGGUGGAAGAUCAUCUUGAGCUUGUGUCCCCUUGAAAGAAGUGUCAUACUUCUCUUGUUGAGGAACAAACUUUGUCUUGGGGUAUUGAUCUUCUUCCCAUUCAACUCCAUUGGCAUUGAACUAUCAUUCAAAACCAACACCUUGAUUCUUCCGGUGCAUUCCUUGCUUGCGCACGAUUUCCUCGAAUUGCUUACUUCCGGCAAGGCUCUUGUAAACACCUUUCUCUAUAAUUCCCUUCAAUAAGCUAUUUUCUUGCUCAAGUGUAACUUGGCUAAGAGAAUCAUUAGUGGAAUCAAGAGAACUACUAGAAGCAACAAUAUUGGAUUUAGCAUGAUCAUUGUUACUACUAGAGGAAGAAUCCUUUUUAUUCUUGUUACUAGUCUUGACUUGAGGCAUGUAAGUGGAUAAUAGUAAACGCUUGCAAUGUAAGAAGAACUAUUCUUGCGGAGAUCAUCAUUGAUUGCUUUUAAGAACUCAUGCUCUUGCUCAAGAUUGAGCUUUUCAAAGCGUAAUUUCUCAUGAGCUCUUAAAAGUUCUCGAUGAUCUUCGAAGAUGGUUUCAUGAGCUAACUUAAGAGUGUUUAGUUCUUUAGUUAGGGCCUCAAUCUUCUCCUUAUCAUUGUCAUUCGUUUUAGCAUGAUUAAUUGAUGUUUCAUCAUAGUACUCAUCACUAGAGUGUUACCUUAGGACCUUUGGCCAUGAAGCAUCUUCCAAUUCCUUCAUUUAGGGAGUCAAAUAUGUCGUAGGAGUUGGUUGACACAAGUGCUAGACCAGCAACACCCUCAUCUUGAUUAUCUUCGGAGUCGGAGUGAUAACUUCUCUCGGAGUGGCUGUCGGAGUCGGAGCCGGAUACCCAUUCACCAACAUGAGCUUGAUGUCUUUGUUUUGUAUAGCUCCUUGAUGAUUUUUCCUUCCUUUCCGAGUCCUUGCUUCUCCGUGAGUAUCUUUGUUCAUAACGAUCAUCUCUACUCCUUCUCUCUCUUGGUGGAGAUUCUUUGCUUCUUCUUUUUGGAGAAUCUUCUCUUCUCUUGUAGGGAGCCGUACACUCAUUGGAAUAGUGUCCGGGUCUUCCACAAUUAUAGCAGUUUCGCUCUCGACUAGAAGAUCUUUUGUCAUUGUAGGACCUUGACUUGAAGCUUCUAUCUUUGCUUCUACUCUUGUAGAACUUGUUGAAGUUCUUCACGAUUAAGCUCAAUUCUUCAUUGAAGUUUUGUUUCUCACUUGAUGAUGUGGGGACUUCACAUGACGCUUUGUAGGCACCACUUGAUUUAUUGUGAAGUUCCUCUUUAUCCUUAAGUGACAUCUCAUGAGCAACAAUCCUCCCAAUUACUUCCGUUGGCUUGAGAUCUUUGUAGUUGGGCAUCAUUUGGAUUAAUGUGCACACGGUAUCAUAUUUCCCAUCCAAGGCUCUUAGGAUCUUCUUGAUGAUGAAUCUAUCGGUCAUCUCUUCACUUCCUAAGCCGGCAAUCUCAUUUGUGAUGAGAGCAAGCCUAGAGUACAUUUCAGCGACACCUUCACCAUCCUUCAUCUUGAACUUGUCAAGUUGACUUUGGAGCACAUCCAACUUGGAUUCCUUGACGGAGUCGGUACCUUCGUGCAUAUCAAUCGAAGUAUCCCAAAUUUCCUUUGCAUUCUCAAGGCGGCUGAUUUUGUUGAAUUCUUCGGGGCACAAUCCGUUGAAGAGAAUAUCACAAGCUUGAGCAUUGUAUUGCAACAUCUUCAACUCAUCCGUGGUAGCUUCACGGUUUGGUUCCCUCCCAUCGAAGAACUCACCUUGCAAGCCAACACAAACAAUAGCCCAUACGGCGGGGUUAUGUCCAAGAAUAUGCAUUUUCAUUUUAUGCUUCCAACUAGCAAAAUUAGUGCCAUCGAAAUAAGGACCUCUACGGUGAUAAUUUCCCUCACUAGACGCCAUACUCUCCUAGGUUGUGAAACCAAGGCUAUGACCACCAAAAGCUAUGAAGAUCAAGCCAAAUGGAGACCAAAGCUCUGAUACCACUUAUAGGAUCGAAAGUAUGUCUAGAGGGGGGGUGAUUAGACUACUUGACCAAUUAAAAACUUAGCCUUUUCCCAAUUUUAGUUCUUGGCAGAUUUUAGUUAUCUUAGAGUAAGUCAAGCAAUCAUUACACAAUUCAAGCAAGCAUGCAAAGAGUUUAUUGGCAGCGGAAAUUAAAGUAUGCAACUUGCAAGAAUGUAUAGGUAAGGGUUUGGAGGACUCAAACGCAAUUGGAGACACAGAUGUUUUCCCGUGGUUCGGAUAGGUGGUGCUAUCCUACAUCCACGUUGAUGGAGACUUCAACCCACGGAGGGUAACGGUUGCGCGAGUCCACGGAGGGCUCCACCCACGAAGGGUCCACGAAGAAGCAACCUUGUCUAUUCCACCAUGGCCAUCGCCCAUGAAGGACUUGCCUCACUAGCGGUAGAUCUUCACGAAGUAGGCGAUCUCCUUACCCUUACAAACUCCUUGGUUCAACUCCACAAUCUUGUCGGAGGCUCCCAAGUGACACCUAGCCAAUCUAGGAGACACCACUCUCCAAGAAGUAACAAAUGGUGUGUUGAUGAUGAACUCCUUGCUCUUGUGCUUCAAAUGAUAGUCUCCCCAACACUCAACUCUCUCUCAUAGGAUUUGGAUCUGGUGGAAAGAAGAUUUGAGUGGAAAGCAACUUGGGGAAGGCUAGAGAUCAAGAUUCAUAUGGUAGGAAUGGAAUAUCUUGGCCUCAACACAUCAGUAGGUGGUUCUUUCUCAGAACAUAUGAGUAGGAAUGAUGUUUGUGUUCUGAUGGCUCUCUCUUCGAAUGAAGAGGUGGUGGAGGGGUAUAUAUAGCCUCCACACAAAAUCCAACCGUUACACACAGUUUUCCAAUCUCGGUGGGACCGAAUCAUCAAACUCGGUCUGACCAAAAUGGUAAACCUAGUGACCGUUAGGAAUCUCGGUGGGACUGAGGUGCAACUCGGUAGGACCGAUUCGGUUAGGGUUUGGGCAUAACGUAAUCUCGGUGAGACCGAUCGCACAAACUCAGUCAGACCGAGUUCGGCAAUUAACUAACCAGAGAGUUGGUCAGGCAAACUCGGUGGGACCGACUUGCUCUUUCGGUGAGAUCGAAAAGUAACAAGAAGGAAACAUAGAGUUUACCUUGCAUUCUCGGUGGGACCGAUUCGCUCUUUUCGGUGAGACCGAGAAGUUACGAAAGGGAAACAGAGUGUUUGCAAGCCCAUCUCGGUGAGACCGAGAACCUUAUCGGUAGGACUGAAUAGCUAGGGUUUGGCAGUGACAAAUGACAAGUGAAACUCGGUGGCGCUGGAUUGACAGAAUCGGUAUGACCGAGUUUGGCUUAGGGUUUAGGUCAUUUGUGGAUAUGGGAAAGUAGCUGAGGAUUUUGGAGCAUAUCACUAAGCACAUAAAGCAAGAGGCUCAUUAAGCAACACCUCAUCCCUCCUUGAUAGUAUUGGCUUUUCCUAAAGACUCAAUGUGAUCUUGGAUCACUAAAAUAUAAAAUGAAGAGUCUUGAACUUUUGAGCUUGAGCCAAUUCUUGUCCUUAGCAUUUUGAGGGUUCCACUUUCACAUCCAUGCCAUGCCAAUCAUUGAGCUUUCCUGAAAUUAUCAUCUUGAAAUAGCAUUAGCUCAAUGAGCUAUAUGUUGUUAUGAAUUACCAAAACCACCUAGGGAUAGUUGUACUUUCAGCGGGCAGGCGGGGCGGUUUUUACCGCGGUAAGUUUCUUCGCGCGCUGUGCUUCCCAUGCUUCCCGCGCGUAGCGCGGCGUGGGGAGGCGUGUGUGACGUGGGCGGCAUGCAUGGGGUUGCUUCCCGCGGGCAUGUGUCACAUCACAGUUAAUGUGAAAGGAGGCGGCCCGCGUUUUUCCCCCAUAAGAAGGAAUAACCGUGGGCACGCUGCUCACUUUCUCCUCUUCCCUUGUGCCUUUUUUCAAUCUCAGAGCCGCCGUUCCCUCUCAUCCUUCCUUCCUAAGCUUUCGCUGUCACCCUCCGCCGCUGCUUUGCCAUCCCCCUUCCUCAGCCCUCUGAACUUCUUGGUCGCCAUGGCUCCCAAAUUCACCAAGGGCAAGGGGGUGGCUAAGGGCGCCGAGAUGGUGGAGCCGCCGGAGAGCGCGCAGUCGGGGGACCGGAUGAAGUCCGCCUUCUUCUUCCCCUCGACGGUUGAUGUUCAAGAGCUCCGGGCCUCCUUCAAGCCCCUAUGGGGAGUGAAGACGGGGGGAGAGGAUUCGGGACACCCGGCGAUGCGCGUCAUUCCUGCCGCUUGCGCUGAUCCUGCCCCAAAUCGGUACCCCUUCUUCGUUGAUUACUUUUCUUGCGGGUUAUGCCCCCCUUUCUCCGAUUUCUUCUGCGAUGUUAUGCGCACCUUCAGCUUUCGCCUCUUGGAUUUUACUCCGAAUGCGGUGGCGUGCAUGGCUUUCUUCGCGCAUCUUUGCGAAGGCUUUGCCGGGGUGCAGCCCAACACGGCGCUCUUUCGCCAUUACUUCUUCCCUCGAAUCCAGCCGGGAGGUGAAGGAAAUAUGCCCUAGAGGCAAUAAUAAAGUUAUUAUUUAUUUCCUUAUAUCAUGAUAAAUGUUUAUUAUUCAUGCUAGAAUUGUAUUAACCAGAAACAUAAUACAUGUGUGAAUACAUAGACAAACUUAAUCUCACUAGUAUGCCUCUACUUGACUAGCUUGUUAAUCAAAAAUGGUUAUGUUUCCUAACCAUGAACAAAGUGUUGUUAUUUGAUUAACGAGGUCACAUCAUUAGUUGAAUGAUCUGAUUGACAUGACUCAUUUCAUUAGCUUAGCACACGAUCGUUUAGUAUGUUGCUAUUGCUUUCUUCAUGACUUAUGCAUGUUCCUAUGACUAUGAGAUUAUGCAACUCCCGUUUCCCGGAGGAACACUUUGUGUGCUACCAAACAUCACAACGUAACUGGGUGAUUAUAAAGGAGCUCUACAGGUGUCUCCAAAGGUAGAUGUUGGGUUGGCGUAUUUCGAGAUUAGGAUUUGUCACUACGAUUGUCGGAGAGGUAUCUCUGGGCCCUCUCGGUAAUGCACAUCACAUAAGCCUUGCAAGCAUUGCAGCCAAUGAGUUAGUUGCGGGAUGAUGUAUUACGGAACGAGUAAAGAGACUUGCCAGUAAUGAGAUUGAACUAGGUAUUGGAUACCGACGAUCGAAUCUCGGGCAAGUAACAUACCGAUGACAAAGGGAACAACGUAUGUUGUUAUGCGGUCUGACCGAUAAAGAUCUUCGUAGAAUAUGUAGGAGCCAAUAUGGGCAUCCAGGUCCCGCUAUUGGUUAUUGACCGGAGAUGUGUCUCAGUCAUGUCUGCAUUAUUCUCGAACCGUAGGGUCCGCACGCUUAACGUUACGAUGACAGUUAUUAUGAGUUUAUGCAUUUUGAUGUACCGAAGUUAGUUCGGAGUCCCGGAUGUGAUCACGGACAUGACGAGGAGUCUCGAAAUGGUCGAGACAUAAAGAUUGAUAUAUUGGAAGCCUAUAUUUGGACAUCGGAAGUGUUCCGGGUGAAAUCGGGAUUUUACCGGAGUACCGGGAGGUUACCGGAACCCCCCGGGAGCCAUAUGGGCCUUAAUGGGCUUUAGUGGAAAGGAGAAAGGGGCAGCCCAAGGUGGCCGCGCGCCUCCCCCUCCCCUAGUCCUAUUAGGACUAGGAGAGGUGGCCGGCCCCCCUCUCUCUCUUCCCCCCUCGGGGAAUCCUAGUCCAACUAGGAUUGGGGGGGGGAGUCCUACUCCCGGUAGGAGUAGGACUCCUCCUGCGCCCUCCUCCUGGCCGGCGGCCCCCUCCCCCUUGGCUCCUUUAUAUACGGAGGCAGGGGGCACCUCUAGACACACAAGUUGAUCAUUAAGAUCGUUCCUUAGCCGUGUGCGGUUCCCCUUGCCACCAUAUUCCACCUCGAUCAUAUUGUAGCAAUGCUUAGGUGAAGCCCUACGACGGUAGAACAUCUAGAUCGUCACCACGCCGUCGUGCUGACUGAACUCCUCCCCGACGCUUUGCUGGAUCGGAGCCCAGGGAUCGUCAUCGAGCUGUACGUGUGCUAAGAACUCGGAGGUGCCGGAGUAACGGUGCUUGGAUCGGUCGGAUCAGGAAGACGUACGACUACUUCCUCUAUGUUGCGUCAACGCUUCCGCUGUUGAUCUACAAGGGUACGUAGAUCACACUCUCCCCUCUCGUUGUUAUGCAUCACCAUGAUCUUGCGUGUGUGUAGGAAUUUUUUUGAAAUUACUACGUUCCCCAACAGUGGCAUCCGAGCCUAGGUUUUAUGGUUUGAUGUUAUAUGCACGAGUAGAACACAAGUGAGUUGUGGGCGAUACAAGUCAUACUGCCUACCAGCAUGUCAUACUUUGGUUCGGCGGUAUUGUUGGACGAGACGACCCGGACCAACAUUACGCGUACGCUUACGCGAGACCGGUUCCCCCGACGUGCUUCGCACACAGGUGGCUUGCGGGCGACUGUCUCUCCAACUUUAGUUGAACCGAGUGUGGCUACGCCCGGUCCUUGCGAAGGUUAAAACGGAGUCUAUUUGACAAACUAUCAUUGUGGUUUUGAUGCGUAGGUGAGAUUGGAUCUUGCUUAAGCCCGUAGCAGCCAUGUAAAACUUGCAACAACAAAGUAGAGGACGUGUAACUUGUUUUUGCAGCGCAUCUUGUGAUGUGAUAUGGUCAAGACAUGAUGCUAAAUUUUAUUGUAUGAGUUGAUCAUGUUUUGUAACCGAGUUAUCGGCAACUGGCAGGAGCCAUAUGGUUGUCGCUUUAUUGUAUGCAAUGCAAUCGCGAUGUAAUGCUUUACUUUAUCACUAAGCGGUAGCGAUAGUCGUGGGAGCAUAAGAUUGGCGAGACGACAACGAUGCUACGAUGGAGAUCAAGGUGUCGUGCCGGUGACGAUGGUGAUCAUGACGGUGCUUCAGAGAUGGAGAUCACAAGCACAAGAUGAUGAUGGCCAUAUCAUAUCACUUAUAUUGAUUGCAUGUGAUGUUUAUCUUUUAUGCAUCUUAUCUUGCUUUGAUUGACGGUAGCAUUAUAAGAUGAUCUCUCACUAAAUUAUCAAGAAGUGUUCUCCCUGAGUAUGCACCGUUGCCAAAGUUCGUCGUGCCCAGACACCACGUGAUGAUCAGGUGUGAUAAGCUCUACGUCCAUCUACAACGGGUGCAAGCCAGUUUUUGCACACGCAGAAUACUCAGGUUAAACUUGACGAGCCUAGCAUAUGCAGAUAUGGCCUCUGAACACAGAGACCGAAAGGUCGAGCGUGAAUCAUAUAGUAGAUAUGAUCAACAUAAUGAUGUUCACCAUUGAAAGCUACUCCCUUUCACGUGAUGAUCGGUUAUGGUUUAGUUGAUUUGGAUCACGUGAUCACUUAGAAGAUUAGAGGGAUGUCUAUCUAAGUGGGAGUUCUUAAGUAAUUUGAUUAAUUGAACUUAAACUUAUCAUGAACUUAGUACCUGAUAGUAUCUUGCUUGUUUAUGUUGAUUGUAGAUAGAUGGCUCGUGCUGUUGUUCCGUUGAAUUUUAAUGCGUUCCUUGAGAAAACAAAGUUGAAAGAUGAUGGUAGCAAUUACACGGAUUGGGUCCAUAACUUGAGGAUUAUCCUCAUUGCUGCUCAGAAGAAUUACGUCCUGGAAGCACCGCUGGGUGCCAGGCCUGCUGCUGGAGCAACACCAGAUGUUAUGAACGUCUAGCAGAGCAAAGCUGAUGACUACUCAAUAGUUCAGUGUGCCAUGCUUUACGGCUUAGAAUCGGAACUUCAACGACAUUUUGAACGUCAUGGAGCAUAUGAGAUGUUCCAGGAGUUGAAGUUAAUAUUUCAAGAAAAUGCCCGAAUUGAGAGAUAUGAAGUCUCCAAUAAGUUCUAUAGCUGUAAGAUGGAGGAGAACAGUUCUGUCAGUGAGCAUAUACUCAAAAUGUCUGGGUAUAAUAAUCACUUGAUUCAGAUGGGAGUUAAUCUUCCAGAUGAUUGCGUCAUUGACAGAAUUCUCCAAUCACUGCCACCAAGCUACAAGAGCUUCGUGAUAAACUAUAAUAUGCAAGGGAUGAACAAGACUAUUCCCGAGCUCUUCGCAAUGCUGAAAGCGGCGGAGGUAGAAAUCAAAAAGGAGCAUCAAGUGUUGAUGGUCAGUAAGACCACUAGUUUCAAGAAAAAGUGCAAAGGGAAGAAAAAGGGGAACUUCAAGAAGAACGACAAGUAAGUUGCUGCUCAAGAGAAGAAACCCAAGUCUGGACCUAAGCCUGAAACUGAGUGCUUCUACUGCAAGCAGACUGGUCACUGGAAGCGGAACUGCCCCAAGUAUUUGGCGGAUAAGAAGGAUGGCAAGGUGAACAAAGGUAUAUGUGAUAUACAUGUUAUUGAUGUGUACCUCACUAGAGCUCGCAGUAGCACCUGGGUAUUUGAUACUGGUUCUGGUGCUAAUAUUUGCAACUCGAAACAGGGACUACGGAUUAAGCGAACACUGGCGAAGGACGAGGUGACGAUGCGCGUGGGAAACGGUUCCAAAGUCGAUGUGAUCGCGGUCGGCACGCUACCUCUACAUCUACCUUCGGGAUUAAUAUUAGACCUAAAUAAUUGUUAUUUGGUGCCAGCGUUGAGCAUGAACAUUAUAUCUGGAUCUUGUUUGAUGCGAGACGGUUAUUCAUUUAAAUCAGAGAAUAAUGGUUGUUCUAUUUAUAUGAGUAAUAUCUUUUAUGGUCAUGCACCUUUGAAGAGUGGUCUAUUUUUGAUGAAUCUCGAUAGUAGUAACACACAUAUUCAUAAUGUUGAAGCCAAAAGAUGCAGAGUUGAUAAUGAUAGUGCAACUUAUUUGUGGCACUGCCGUUUAGGUCAUAUCGGUAUAAAGCGCAUGAAGAAACUCCAUAUUGAUGGACUUUUGGAACCACUUGAUUAUGAAUCACUUGUUACUUGCGAACCGUGCCUCAUAGGCAAGAUGAAUAAAACACCGUUCUCCGGUACUAUGGAGAGAGCAACAGAUUUGUUGGAAAUCGUACAUACCGAUGUAUGUGGUCCGAUGAAUAUUGAGGCUCGUGGCGGAUAUCGUUAUUUUCUCACUUUCACAGAUGAUUUAAGCAGAUAUGGGUAUAUCUACCUAAUGAAACAUAAGUCUGAAACAUUUGAAAAGUUCAAAGAAUUUCAGAGUGAAGUUGAAAAUCAUCGUAACAAGAAAAUAAAGUUUCUACGAUCUGAUCGUGGAGGAGAAUAUUUGAUUUACGAGUUUGGUGUACAUUUGAAAAAUUGUGGAAUAGUUUCGCAACUCACGCCACCCGGAACACCACAACGUAAUGGUGUGUCCGAACGUCGUAAUCAUACUUUACUAGAUAUGGUGCGAUCUAUGAUGUCUCUCACUGAUUUACCGCUAUCGUUUUGGGGUUAUGCUUUAGAGACGACCGCAUUCACGUUAAAUAGGGCACCAUCAAAAUCCGUUGAGACGACGCCUUAUGAACUAUGGUAUGGCAAGAAACCAAAGUUGUCAUUUCUUAAAGUUUGGGGCUGCGAUGCUUAUGUGAAAAAGCUUCAACCUGAUAAGCUCGAACCCAAAUCGGAGAAAUGUGUCUUCAUAGGAUACCCAAAGGAGACUGUUGGGUACACCUUCUAUCACAGAUCCGAAGGCAAGACAUUCGUUGCUAAGAAUGGAUCAUUUCUAGAGAAGGAGUUUCUCUCGAAAGAAGUGAGUGGGAGAAAAGUAGAACUUGACGAGGUAACUGUACCUGCUCCCUUAUUGGAAAAUAGUACAUCACAGAAAACUGUUUCUGCGACACCUAUACCAAUUAGUGAGGAAGCUAAUGAUGAUGAUCAUGAAACUUCAGGACAAGAUACUACUGAACCUCGUAGGUCAACCAGAGUGAGAUCCGCACCAGAGUGGUACAGUAAUCCUAUUCUGGAAAUCAUGCUGCUAGAUCAUGAUGAACCUACGAACUAUGAAGAAGCGAUGGUGAGCCCAGAUUCCGCAAAGUGGCUUGAAGCCAUGAAAUCUGAGAUGGGAUCCAUGUAUGAGAACAAAGUAUGGACUUUGGUUGACUUGCCCGUUGAUCGGCAAGCAAUUGAGAAUAAAUGGAUCUUUAAGAAGAAGACUGACGCUGAUGGUAAUGUUACUGUCUACAAAGCUCGACUUGUCGCAAAAGGUUUUCGACAAGUUCAAGGGGUUGACUACGAUGAGACCUUCUCACCUGUAGUGAUGCUUAAGUCUGUCCGAAUCAUAUUAGCAAUUGCCGCAUUUUAUGAUUAUGAAAUUUGGCAGAUGGAUGUCAAAACUGCAUUCCUGAAUGGAUUUCUAGAAGAAGAGUUGUAUACGAUGCAACCGGAAGGUUUUGUCGAUCCAAAGGGAGCUAACAAAGUGUGCAAGCUCCAGCGAUCCAUUUAUGGACUGGUGCAAGCAUCUCGGAGUUGGAAUAAACGCUUUGAUAGUGUGAUCAAAGCAUUUGGUUUUAUACAGACUUUCGAUGAAGCCUGUAUUUACAAGAAAGUGAGUGGGAGCUCUGUAGCAUUUCUGAUAUUAUAUGUGGAUGACAUAUUGCUGAUUGGAAAUGAUAUAGAAUUUCUGGAUAGCAUAAAGGGAUACUUGAAUAAGAGUUUUUCAAUGAAAGACCUCGGUGAAGCUGCUUACAUAUUAGGCAUAAAGAUCUAUAGAGAUAGAUCAAGACGCUUAAUUGGACUUUCACAAAGCACAUACCUUGACAAGAUUUUGAAGAAGUUCAAAAUGGAUCAAGCAAAGAAAGGGUUCUUACCUGUGUUACAACAUGUGAAGUUGAGUCAGACUCAAUGCCCGACCACUGCAGAAGAUAGAGAGAAAAUGAAAGAUGUUCCCUAUGCUUCAGCCAUAGGCUCUAUCAUGUAUGCAAUGCUGUGUACCAGACCUAAUGUGUGCCUUGCUAUAAGUUUAGCAGGGAGGUACCAAAGUAAUCCAGGAGUGGAUCACUGGACAGCGGCCAAGAACAUCCUGAAAUACCUGAAAAGGACUAAGGAUAUGUUUCUCGUAUAUGGAGGUGACAAAGAGCUCACCGUAAAAGGUUACAUUGAUGCAAGCUUUGACACUGAUCCGGACGAUUCUAAAUCGCAAACCGGAUACGUGUUCACAUUAAACGGUGGAGCUGUCAGUUGGUGCAGUUCUAAACAAAGCGUCGUAGCGGGAUCUACAUGUGAAGCAGAAUACAUAGCUGCUUCGGAAGCAGCAAACGAAGGAGUCUGGAUGAAGGAGUUCAUAUCCGAUCUAGGUGUCAUACCUAGUGCAUCGGGUCCAAUGAAAAUCUUUUGUGACAAUACUGGUGCAAUUGCCUUGGCAAAGGAAUCCAGAUUUCACAAGAGGACCAAGCACAUCAAGAGACGCUUCAAUUCCAUCCAGGUGGGAGACAUAGAGAUUUGCAAGAUACAUACGGAUCUGAAUAUUGCAGACCCGUUGACUAAGCCUCUUCCACGAGCAAAACAUGAUCAGCACCAAGGCUCCAUGGGUGUUAGAAUCAUUACUAUGUAAUAUAGAUUAUUGACUCUAGUGCAAGUGGGAGACUGAAGGAAAUAUGCCCUAGAGGCAAUAAUAAAGUUAUUAUUUAUUUCCUUAUAUCACGAUAAAUGUUUAUUAUUCAUUCUAGAAUUGUAUUAACCGGAAACAUAAUACAUGUGUGAAUACAUAGACAAACUUAAUGUCACUAGUAUGCCUCUACUUGACUAGCUCAUUAAUCAAAUAUGGUUAUGUUUCCUAACCAUGAACAAAGUGUUGUUAUUUGAUUAACGAGGUCACAUCAUUAGUUGAAUGAUCUGAUUGACAUGACCCAUUUCAUUAGCUUAGCACACGAUCGUUUAGUAUGUUGCUAUUGCUUUCUUCAUGACUUAUACAUGUUCCUAUGACUAUGAGAUUAUGCAACUCCCGUUUCCCGGAGGAACACUUUGUGUGCUACCAAACGUCACAACGUAACUGGGUGAUUAUAAAGGAGCUCUACAGGUGUCUCCAAAGGUAGAUGUUGGGUUGGCGUAUUUCAAGAUUAGGAUUUGUCACUCCGAUUGUCGGAGAGGUAUCUCUGGGCCCUCUCGGUAAUGCACAUCACAUAAGCCUUGCAAGCAUUGCAGCCAAUGAGUUAGUUGCGGGAUGAUGUAUUAUGGAACGAGCAAAGAGACUUGCCAGUAACGAGAUUGAACUAGGUAUUGGAUACCGACGAUCGAAUCUCGGGCAAGUAACAUACCGAUGACAAAGGGAACAACGUAUGUUGUUAUGCGGUCUGACCGAUAAAGAUCUUCGUAGAAUAUGUAGGAGCCAAUAUGGGCAUCCAGGUCCCGCUAUUGGUUAUUGACCGGAGAUGUGUCUCAGUCAUGUCUGCAUUAUUCUCGAACCGUAGGGUCCGCACGCUUAACGUUACGAUGACAGUUAUUAUGAGUUUAUGCAUUUUGAUGUACCGAAGUUAGUUCGGAGUCCCGGAUGUCAUCACGGACAUGACGAGGAGUCUCGAAAUGGUCGAGAAAUAAAGAUUGAUAUAUUGGAAGCCUAUAUUUGGACAUCGGAAGUGUUCCGGGUGAAAUCGGGAUUUUACCGGAGUACCGGGAGGUUACCGGAACCCCCCGGGAGCCAUAUGGGCCUUAAUGGGCUUUAGUGGAAAGGAGAAAGGGGCAGCCCAAGGUGGCCGCGCACCUCCCCCCUCCCCUAGUCCUAUUAGGACUAGGAGAGGUGGUCGGGCCCCCUCUCUCUCUUCCCCCCUCGGGGAAUCCUAGUCCAACUAGGAUUGGGGGGGGGAGUCCUACUCCCGGUAGGAGUAGGACUCCUCCUGCGCCCUCCUCCUGGCCGGCGGCCCCCUCCCCCUUGGCUCCUUUAUAUACGGAGGCAGGGGGCACCUCUAGGCACACAAGUUGAUCAUUGAGAUCAUUCCUUAGCCGUGUGCGGUGCCCCCUGCCACCAUAUUCCACCUCGAUCAUAUUGUAGCAGUGCUUAGGUGAAGCCCUGCGACGGUAGAACAUCAAGAUCGUCACCACGCCGUCGUGCUGACGGAACUCCUCCCCGACGCUUUGCUGGAUCGGAGCCCAGGGAUCGUCAUCGAGCUGUACGUGUGCUAAGAACUCGGAGGUGCCGGAGUAACGGUGCUUGGAUCGGUCGGAUCGGGAAGACGUACGACUACUUCCUCUACGUUGCGUCAACGCUUCCGCUGUUGUUCUACAAGGGUACGUAGAUCACACUCUCCCCUCUCGUUGCUAUGCAUCACCAUGAUCUUGCGUGUGCGUAGGAAAUUUUUUGAAAUUACUACGUUCCCCAACAGGAGGAGCCGUCUCCGGUUGUGUCACCUGGAUCCCAAGAUCCAAGGGGGUGUACCCGGACGGUGCCGUGAAGGAGAGGUGGGAGGAAUGGCGUGGCCGAUGGUGUUGGAUUGAAGAUGAAAACCCGCCGGAAUUCUGCAAGGUCUGCCGAGUGCCGCCGGUCCGCGGCAGCGAUUGGAGCGAUGUCGACGCCGCCGAUGGGAGGCUCACCGUCGCCACCACCAGGAUUCUCUGGCUCACCCAGGCCGGACUCACCCUUGAGAUGAUCGGGGCAGACUUCAUUCGCCGCCGGAUCGCCCCGUUGCACCGCAAGGGGAGGCCAGCUUGGCUCUUUACGAACCCGGCUGACAUUAUGCGACUCCGCCCCGGCCUCGAUCACAACUUCAUAGUGCUGGCGCAUGCCCACUUCUGCCAGCGACUUUUCCAGCUUGAUGUGUGUCGCGAUGGCGAGGUCGAGCGGACCGGCAAGGCCGCGAGGGCUGCCGCAAAGGUUUGCAAGGCCCUCAAGGGGCCAUUUUUCAAGCUGCCAGCGGGGGUGGUCCCGUUGUGCAACAAUUCGCAUCAUUCCGAGAUCAUCGCCAUGAUGCCGGACUGUAAUGUGCACGGCCAUGUCCCGAGCUGGGAGGAGCCGAAGGACGAGGAUGUGCAGCAAUUCUUCGACACCCUGAUCGAGGUGUACGUCAAUGCCGACGCCUGUGGCUUAUCAUGGACAACACCCAGGCGGAGCUGGACUACAUCGCCACUAGGGCGAGGGAGGCACAGCUUGCCAUGGAGGCCGGCAGCGCCGGGGGCGUGGAGGACAAGGCCGCAACGGCGGCGGAGGAAGAGGAGCUCACCCGGUGGGCGGCGGCCUCUGGGAGGUCAGCAGCGCCGACACUGGAUCUCCGCUCGUCGAAGAUGUGGCCGACGAGUCGUCGGGGGAGGAGGAGGAUGUGGCGGCGGGCUCGACGCCAACCAAGGGAAGAGGACGAGUCCCACGGCGGGCUGGCUCCGGUGAGCCGGUCCGGCCCGGCAGGGCUGCGCGGCCUCAAUUGACCCUGGAGGGGUCUGGGCGCCACACGAGGGCCACGGCAGCCAAGAGGCUGACGAAGGCCGCUGAGAAGAAGAAGACAACAGCCCCUUCCUCAUCCGGGCGCGCACAAACCCCGCCGCCUCCUUCGCCUCCUCCGACAGGCGUCGACUCGGAUGAUGAUGUGGAGCUCCCUUUUGAUCUCAGGCCUCUCAGCCUGGAGAGGAAAAGGAAACUGGUGGAAGAGGAGGAGACGGAUGAUGAGUAAGUUCUCUGUUCCUUACUGUCAUUUCCAUUUCCUCGAAUUGGGUCGCUUGUCUUGAUCCAUUUUUGCUUCCGUAGGGACACAUAGACGUUGGCCCAGACGGUGAAGAGGGCGAGGACCUCGGCGAGCAGCCAGCCCCCGGCUGGGGCUUCAAAGACACUACUGGUGGUGCUGAGCAGCCCGGACAGCAGCCCCGGCGCAGCCCCCAGCGUAAGUUCAUCACCCUCUUCUUACUCGACAUGUGGUAGGUGCUCGAUGCUAUGAUGCUGACCUUGCCGGGUUAGCAGGAGGGGAGUGGCUGCAGGAGGAGCCACAGAGGGCUACUCCUAACACACCACCCCCAUCGACUACGCCGCCGCGGGGGGCGUCCCCGGCAAGGGCACCAGGCACGGAGCCCACACCCAUGGAGGAAGAGGGGAACUUGGGCACUGGUGGCUCUGCCACGGUGCCAAAUGCUGGCGGAGAGGGGACUUCUGCUUCAGAGCCUGGCACUGGUGAGUCGCCUGUCCUUCGUCUCUGUUUUCCCUUAUCAUUUUCUUGGCUUCAUUGCUCCCGUUGCUGCCCAGGCCCUCCUUCAACAGGUAUGGAGGACAUGGAUACCGUUGCUGGGAACAUUGCUGAGGAGGCCGCCAAGGAUGCUGUCGAGGACACCGCGGCGGGGGCCGCCAAGGCGACCGGCGAGGCUUCUGCCGAGGGCGCCAGCGGUGGACCUGCCGGCGAGGUCGGCAAGGCCUCCGCCGAGGAAGAGGUGGUGGGUGACCAGCCUCCCUCCUCCUCAACCUCGGGCCCCGGCAGAUAUGUGAAGGUGGGUGACGAUCUCUUCGUCCACCUCCCAGGGGCGUCAAGCCGGGCGCCCACCAAAGGGGAAGUUUUCGAUGGCGAGGUGCUUGCCGCCACCGGGCUCGAGGUGGUUGAUGAGCCGGGCGUUGGUGGUGACGGUUCUCCAGAAGAGCAGCUUUUCCGUGCCAUGGGGGCCAAUUUCCGGAAGCUCCAAGUGCUCUACUGUGCUCGGCUGGACAAGGUCAAGUUCAGGAUGGCAACGGUGGACAACGCGGAGGUGGACUUCAAGGCGCGCGUUGCCGAGACGCAGACCUGGUUCCACCAGGCUCGCGAGGAGCAGAGGGCCUUUCAGGAGAAAUUGGCCGAGCGCGAUGUGGAGCUCACCAUGAAGAUGGCCGACAUCGAGAAGGCCUAGGAAAAGGCGGCGAACUUGGCUGCCGCGGCCGAGACCGCCCGGAACCAGCAUCAAGCCACCUUGGAUUCCCAGGAAGAGGACCUCACCGCGCGUGAGGCGAAGCUUGCUGCAAUGCUCCGUGGCAAGGAUGAGGAGCUCGAGGCCCUUGUCGCGCGGUGGACUCGCGAGCUGGAGUAGAGGCACAAGGAGGCACUCGAUGCCCAGGCUCUGGCCCAUGCCGGCAAGGUAAGGGAGUUGGAGGUGGCGCAGGACGAGCUGAAGGAGCAGGCCCUCAAGCUGUCCAACGAGAAGAGCACGCUCAACAGCGCCUUGGUGGAGGUGCAAGGAGUGGUCAUCAGCAGGGCUGGGAAGCUCUCCGAAGCACAAAACUCCGUCAGAGACCUCAAGCUGGAGCUGGAGGAUCUCGAGAAGAUGCUGUCGGAGAGCAGGACUCGGGAGGAGACCUUGACCAGGAGCCUGGAGGAGGAGAAGCAGCCGUGGGCGAACGAGGCCGCCACCCACCAGGAUUAUGUGGCGGGUGAGAACAGAUGGAUCAGCCAUCUGGUGGAGGUCGCCGGCAGGGUCACCUCGCAGUUGGCCACCAUGGGGAUGCCACACGUGAGGUACGCCCCUGAGCGCAGCGGGACCGUCAACACCAAGUUGACCCUGUUCUUCGAGGGCGUCCUCGGAGCCUUGGCUUAUCUUCACUCCAACAGGACGGCCACGCUGGCCGAGGAGGCCCGGCGACUUUGCCGAAGGGUCGUGACCAAGGUCCUCACCAAGAUGGCGUACUGUAAUCCUGAUCUUGACUUCGCGGCCGCGAUGAAGAGCUUGCCGGAUGGUUAGGCCUGGGCAUUCGGUAUAAACUGAAAAUUCGGUUUCUACCAUUCGGUUAUUUUGGAAAUUCGGUUAGCAAAGAUGAAAACCGAAAAAGACAUCCCAAAAUAGGAAACCGAAUAUUCGGUUAACCGAGAUUUUCGGUUUGGUAAUCGGUUUCUACCGUAUUAGCCAAUUAGCCAAUGUGCCAACGAAUCAGCUGUGAGGCUAUCUUCCAUUCCACCUGCGCUCUAUAUAUACACUAGCUAUCCAUCUCCAUGUGCGUGGCUGGCCGAGGUGGGACUAAACCACUAGCCCGCAGCGCCUCUCGUACGCACGUAUACAAAUUGACUACGUCGGGCACACACAGGAAAUGAGAUCCAGCUUGGGCCUUGCAUGCAGGUCGUCGCUCGCCGGCUUGGCCCAGUAUUUUGUUUUGUCGCGACUAAAGCACGCGCUCGAGGCCACCUGGCACGGGAACAGCUCGUUGUUGCACGCGUCGUAAUCUAUAUUCGGUUUUUCUGUUCGGUUACCGUGCUUAUACCGAACCGAAUGGAUCCAGUUCGGUUAGCAAAGAUACUAACCGAAUUUUUCUGUACUAACAUUAAAAACUGAAAUUUCGGUUUUUUCGGUUUCGGUUCGGUCUUCGGUUCGUCGGUUUUUAUGCCCACCCCUACUGAUGGUGCUGACCUCACGGUGCUCAAGGAGCGCAUCAAGCCCAUCACCGACUGCAUCGACGAAAUCAACAGGGUGGAAGGCCAGCGCCGGGAUUAGGCAUCCCGUUCUUCUUCGCCGCUGCGGGUUCCCAACCAAGACAAAUUUCAUCUUUAGUUAGAACCGCAACAAUGAUGUGAUGUAAUAUAACUUUGAAGUACUCUUAAUUUUCAUGCAUGUUAUUUCCCCAUUCGAUUCCUCUUUGUAUGCGUGCCCUACAUCGAUCGGGAAGGCUUGCCGCCGCGGAAGCCCCUAGCGGCGUUUUGGGGACGGAUCCCCAUGGCCAGCCGGGUACGCGUGCUACCGGACGAGCCACCUUUUCGUUCUGAACGCGGCCGCUCGAACUGUCGAGCUUGACUCGAGUCAGAAUCGGGGGCGUUGCUGAUCGCGGAAGGCCACUCUGCCAUUCUCGACGCAGCCGCUUGAGCUGUUGAGAGGACUCGAAACAGGGCAAGGGCGUUGCCGAUCGUGGUAGAGCCCCUGGCGUGCAGGUUUCUCAUACAAAGCGAAUAUCUCCGGGGGGGAUAACCUCAAAUAAGAAGGGUAGCACAAAUAAGGGUUCGGUGCAACUUAGCUUCUGUUUGCGAUCGCUCGAGUGUCGAUCUUCUGGCCUCCUUUCUUCUUCAAGGGUCACGAAGAUGAAGGAGUGCCAGGCUAACUGCCAGAGCCGAUUCUCACAACGGCGCCCCCUACCUGGCGCGCCAAAGAUGUCGGUGGGAACGACACCAAUGGGAUCACAAGAAUCCCUACUACGGUUGCGGGGCACGGGGUCGUGAGAAGAGCGGAUCAAACAGAUAGCACACGGUUCGUUUAUCCAGGUUCGGGCCGCGAGGACGCGUUAAAUGUAGGGGAACGUAGUAAUUUCAAAAAAAAAUCCUACGCACACGCAAGAUCAUGGUGAUGCAUAGCAAUGAGAGGGGAGAGUGUGAUCUACGUACCCUUGUAGACCGACAGCGGAAGCGUUAGCACAACGCGGUUGAUGUAGUCAUACGUCUUCACGGCCCGACCGAUCAAGCACCGAAAUUACGACACCUCCGAGUUCUAGCACAUGUUCAGCUCGAUGACGAUGCCCGGACUCCGAUCCAGCAAAGUGUCGGGGAAGAGUUCCGUCAGCACCACGGCGUGGUGACGAUCUUGAUGUACUACCGUCGCAGGGCUUCGCCUAAGCACCGCUACAAUAUUAUCGAGGGUUAUGGUGGAAGGGGGCACUGCACACGGCUAAGAAUAUGAUCAUGUGGAUCGACUUGUGUGUCUAGGGGUGCCCCCUGCCCCUGUAUAUAAAGGAUCAAGGGGAGGAGGCCGGCCGGCCCCUAUGGCGCGCCAAGGAGGAGUCCUCCUCCUAGUGGGAGUAGGACUCCUACUAGGAGGGGGAAAGAAGUGGGGAGGGAGAAGGAAGUGGGGAGGGAAAAGAAAGUGGGGAGGGGAGGAGGCGCGCGGCCCACCUUUGGCUGCCCCUCUCUCUCUCCACUAAGGCCCAUAUGGCCCAUUGCUUCUCCCGGGGGGUUCCGGUAACCCUCCGGCUCUCCGGCUUUCUCCUCGGAGAACCCGGAACACUUCCGGUGUCCGAAUAUAGCCAUCCAAUAUAUCAAUCUUUAUGUCUCGACCAUUUCGAGACUCCUCGUCAUGUCAGCGAUCACAUCUGGGACUCCAAACUAACUUCAGUACAUCAAAACUCAUAAACUCAUAAUAUAACUGUCAUCGAAACCUUAAGCGUGCGGAUCCUAUGGGUUCGAGAACAAUGUAGACAUGACCGAGACACGUCUCUGGUCAAUAACCAAUAGCGGAACCUGGAUGAUCAUAUUGGCUCCUACAUAUUCUAAGAAGAUCUUUAUCGGUGAGACCGCAUAACAACAUACAUUGUUCCCGUUGUCAUCGGUAUGUUACUUGCCCGAGAUUCGAUCGUCGGUAUCUCAAUACCUAGUUCAAUCUCGUUACCGGCAAGUCUCUUUACUCGUUUCUUAAUACAUCAUCUCGCAACUAACUCAUUAGUUGUAAUGCUUGCAAGGCUUAUGUGAUGUGCAUUACCGAGAGGGCCCAGAGAUACCUCUCCGACAAUCGGAGUGACAAAUCCUAAUCUCGAAAUACGCCAACCCAACAUUCAUCUUUGGAGACACCUGUAGAGCUCCUUUAUAAUCACCCAGUUACGUUGUGACGUUUGGUAGCGCACAAAGUGUUCCUCCAGUAAACGGGAGUUGCAUAAUCUCAUAGUCAUAGGAACAUGUAUAAGUCAUGAAGAAAGCAAUAGCAACAUACUAAAUGAUCGGGUGCUAAGAUAAUGGAAUGGGUCAUGUCAAUCACAUCAUUCUCCUAAUGAUGUGAUCCCAUCAAUCAAAUGACAACACAUGUCUAUGGUUAGGAAACAUAACCAUCUUCGAUUAAUGAGCUAGUCAAGUAGAGGCAUACUAGUGACACUUUGUUUGUCUAUGUAUUAACACAUGUAUUAUGUUUCCGGUUAAUACAGUUCUAGCAUGAAUAAUAAACAUUUAUCAUGAAAUAAGGAAAUAAAUAAUAACUUUAUUAUUGCCUCUAGGGCAUAUUUCCUUCAGUCUCCCACUUGCACUAGAGUCAGUAAUCUAGAUUACACAGUAAUGAUUCUAACACCCAUGGAGCUUUGGUGUUGAUCAUGUUUUGCUCGUGGAAGAGGCUUAGUCAACGGGUCUGCAACAUUCAGAUCCGUAUGUAUCUUGCAAAUCUCUAUGUCUCCCACCUGGACUAGAUCCCGGAUGGAGUUGAAGCGUCUCUUGAUGUGCUUGGUGUUCUUGUGAAAUCUGGAUUCCUUUGCCAAGGCAAUUGCACCAGUAUUAUCACAAAAGAUUUUCAUUGGACCCGAUGCACUAGGUAUGACACCUAGAUCGGAUAUGAACUCCUUCAUCAAAACUCCUUCGUUUGCUGCUUCCGGAGCAGCUAUGUACUCCGCUUCACAUGUAGAUCCCGCCACAACACUUUGUUUAGAACUGCACCAACUGACAGCUCCACCGUUUAAUGUAAACACGUAUCCGGUUUGCGAUUUAGAAUCGUCCGGAUCAGUGUCAAAGCUUGCAUCAACGUAACCAUUUGCGAUGAGCUCUUUUUCACCUCCAUAUAUGAGAAACAAAUCCUUAGUCCUUUUCAGGUAUUUCAGGAUGUUCUUGACCGCUGUCCAGUGAUCCACUCCUGGAUUACUUUGGUGCCUCCCUGCUAGACUUAUAGCAAGACACACAUCAGGUCUGGUACACAGCAUUGCAUACAUGAUAGAGCCUAUGGCUGAAGCAUAGGGAACAUCUUUCAUUUUCUCUCUAUCUUCUGCAUUGGUCGGACUUUGAGUCUUACUCAAUUUAACACCUUGUAACACAGGCAAGAAUCCUUUCUUUGCUUGAUCCAUUUUGAACUUUUUCAAAACUUUCUCAAGGUAUGUGCUUUGUGAAAGUCCAAUUAAGCAUCUCAAUUUGUCUCUAUAGAUCUUGAUGCCCAAUAUGUAGGCAGCUUCACCGAGGUCUUUCACCGAAAAACUUCUAUUCAAGUAUCCCUUUAUGCUAUUCAUAAAUUCUAUAUCAUUUCCGAUUAGUAAUAUGUCAUCUACAUAUAAUAUCAGAAAUGCUACAGAGCUCCCACUCACUUUCUUGUAAAUACAGGCUUCUCCAAAAGUCUGUAUAAAACCAAAUGCUUUGAUCACACUAUCAAAGCGUUUAUUCCAACUCCGAGAGGCUUGCACCAGUCCAUAAAUGGAUCGCUGGAGCUUGCACACUUUGUUAGCUCCCUUUGGAUCGACAAAACCUUCUGGCUGCAUCAUAUACAACUCUUCUUGCAGAAAUCCAUUCAGGAAUGCAGUUUUGACAUCCAUUUGCCAAAUUUCAUAAUCAUAAAAUGCGACAAUUGCUAACAUGAUUCGGACAGACUUAAGCAUCGCUACGGGUGAGAAGGUCUCAUCGUAGUCAAUCCCUUGAACUUGCCGAAAACCUUUUGUGACAAGUCGAGCUUUGUAGACAGUAACAUUACCGUCAGCGUCAGUCUUCUUCUUGAAGAUCCAUUUAUUCUCAAUUGCUUGCCGAUCAUUGGGCAAGUCAACCAAAGUCCAUACUUUGUUCUCAUACAUGGAUCCCAUCUCAGAUUUCAUGGCUUCAAGCCAUUUUGCGGAAUCUGGGCUCAUCAUCGCUUCUUCAUAGUUCGUAGGUUCAUCAUGAUCUAGUAGCAUGACUUCCAGAACAGGAUUACUGUACCACUCUGGCGUGGAUCUUACUCUGGUUGAUCUACGAGGUUCAGUAGUAUCUUGUUCUAAAGUUUCAUGAUCAUUAUCAUUAGCUUCCUCACUAAUUGGUGUAGGUGUCACAGAAACUGGUUUUUGUGAUGUACUACUUUCCAAUAAGGGAGCAGGUACAGUUACCUCGUCAAGUUCUACUUUCCUCCCACUCACUUCUUUCGAGAGAAACUUCUUCUCUAGAAAGUUUCCGAAUUUAGCAACAAAAGCUCUGCCUUCGGAUCUGUGAUAGAAGGUGUAUCCAAUAGUUUCCUUUGGAUAUCCUAUGAAGACACAAUUCUCUGAUUUGGGUUCGAGCUUAUCAGGUUGAUGCUUUUUCACAUAAGCAUCGCAACCCCAAACUUUCAGAAAUGACAACUUUGGUUUCUUGCCAAACCACAGUUCAUAAGGCGUCGUCUCAACGGAUUUUGAUGGUGCCCUAUUUAACGUGAAUGCGGCCGUCUCUAGAGCAUAUCCCCAAAAUGCUAGCGGUAAAUCAGUAAGAGACAUCAUAGAUCGCACCAUAUCUAGUAAAGUACGAUUACGACGUUCGGACACACCAUUACGCUGUGGUGUUCCGGGUGGCGUGAGUUGUGAAACUAUUCCACAUUGUUUCAAAUAUACACCAAACUCGUAACUCAAAUAUUCUCCUCCACGAUCAGAUUGUAGGAAUUUUAUUUUCUUGUUACGAUGAUUUUCAACUUCACUCUGAAAUUCUUUGAACUUUUCAAACGUUUCAGACUUAUGUUUCAUUAAGUAGAUAUACCCAUAUCUGCUCAAGUCAUCUGUGAAGGUGAGAAAAUAACGAUAUCCGCCACGAGCCUCAAUAUUCAUUGGACCACAUACAUCUGUAUGUAUGAUUUCCAACAAAUCCGUUGCUCUCUCCAUAGUACCGGAGAACGGUGUUUUUGUCAUCUUACCUAUAAGGCACGGUUCGCAAGUACCAAGUGAUUCAUAAUCAAGUGGUUCCAAAAGCCCAUCAGUAUGGAGUUUCUUCAUGCGCUUUACACCGAUAUGACCCAAAUGGAAGUGCCACAAAUAAGUUUCACUAUCAUUAUCAACUCUGCAUCUUUUGGUUUCAACAUUAUUAAUAUGUGUGUCACUACUAUAAAGAUUUAAUAAGAAUAGACCACUCUUUAAGGGUGCAUGACCAUAAAAGAUAUUACUCAUAUAAAUAGAACAACCAUUAUUCUCUGAUUUAAAUGAAUAACCGUCUCGCAUCAAACAAGAUCUAGAUAUAAUGUUCAUGCUUAACGCUGGCACCAAAUAACAAUUAUUUAGGUCUAAUACUAAUCCCGAAGGUAGAUGUAGAGGUAGCGUGCCGACUGCGAUCACAUCGACUUUGGAACCAUUUCCCACGCGCAUCGUCACCUCGUCCUUAGCCAAUCUUCGCUUAAUCAGUAGUCCCUGUUUCGAGUUGCAAAUGUUAGCAACUGAACCAGUAUCAAAUACCCAGGUGAUACUGCGAGCAUUAGUAAGGUACACAUCAAUGACACGUAUAUCACAUAUACCUUUGUUCACCUUGCCAUCCUUCUUAUCCGCCAAAUACUUGGGGCAGUUCCGCUUCCAGUGACCAGUCUGCUUGCAGUAGAAGCACUCAGUUUCAGGCUUAGGUCCAGAUUUGGGCUUCUUCUCUUGAGUAGCAACUUGCUUGCUGUUCUUUUUGAAGUUCCCCUUCUUCUUCCCUUUGCCAUUUUUCUUAAAACUAGUGGUCUUGUUGACCAUCAACACUUGAUGCUCCUUCUUGAUUUCUACCUCCGCAGCUUUCAGCAUUGCAAAGAGCUCGGGAAUAGUCUUAUUCAUCCCUUGCAUAUUAUAGUUCAUCACGAAGCUCUUGUUGUUGGAAAUAUGCCCUAGAGGCAAUAAUAAAAGCAUUAUUAUUAUAUUUCCUUGUUCAUGAUAAUUGUCUUUUAUUCAUGCUAUAAUUGUGUUAUCCGGAAAUCGUAAUACAUGUGUGAAUAAUAGACACCAACAUGUCCCUAGUAAGCCUCUAGUUGACUCGCUCGUUGAUCAACAGAUAGUCAUGGUUUCCUGACUAUGGACAUUGGAUGUCAUUGAUAACGAGAUCACAUCAUUAGGAGAAUGAUGUGAUGGACAAGACCCAAUCCUAAACAUAGCACAAGAUCGUAUAGUUCGUUUGCUAGAGUUUUCCAAUGUCAAGUAUCCUUUCCUUAGACCAUGAGAUCGUGUAACUCCCGGAUACCGUAGGAGUGCUUUGGGUGUACCAAACGUCACAACGUAACUGGGUGACCAUAAAGGUAUACUACGGGUAUCUUCGAAAGUGUCUGUUGGGUUGACACGGAUCAAGACUGGGAUUUGUCACUCCGUAUGACGGAGAGGUAUCACUGGGCCCACUCAGUAAUGCAUCAUCAUUAUGAGAUCAAAGUGACCAAGUGUCUGGUCACGGGAUCAUGCAUUACGGUACGAGUAAACUGACUUGCCGGUAACGAGAUUGAACGAGGUAUUGGGAUACCGACGAUCGAAUCUCGGGCAAGUAACGUACCGAUUGACAAAGGGAAUUGUAUACGGUGUUGCUUGAAUCCUCGACAUCGUGGUUCAUCCAAUGAGAUCAUCGAGGAGCAUGUGGGAGCCAACAUGGGUAUCCAGAUCCCGCUGUUGGUUAUUGACCGGAGAGCAAUCUCGGUCAUGUCUACAUGUCUCCCGAACCCGUAGGGUCUACACACUUAAGGUUCGGUGAUGCUAGGGUUGUAGGGAUAUGUAUAUGCAGUAACCUGAAUGUUGUUCGGAGUCCCGGAUGACAUGCCGGACGUCACGAGGAGUUCCGGAAUGGUCCGGAGGUAAAGUAUUAUAUAUAGGAAGUGCUAUUUCGGCUAUCGGGACAAGUUUCGGGGUCACCGGUAUUGUACCGGGACCACCGGAAGGGUCCCGGGGGUCCACCGGGUGGGGCCACCUAUCCCGGAGGGCCCCAUGGGCUGAAGUGGGAAGGGAUCCAGCCCAAAGUGGGCUGGGGCGCCACUUCCCCUAGGGCCCAUGCGCCUGGGGUGGGGAAACCCUAAAGGGGGGCGCCCCCUUGCUUGAGGGGCAAGCCCCCCACCCCUUGGCUGCCGCCCCCUAGGAGAUUGCAUCUCCUAGGGCCGGCGCCCCCCUAGGCCCCCUAUAUAUGGUGGGGGGGAGGGAGGGCCUCUCACCUACGCCAUUGGUGCCUCCCUCUCCCUCUCCAACACCUCCUCCUUCUCCAUAGAGCUUGGCGAAGCCUUGCCGGAGUACUGCAGCUCCAUCACCACCACGCCGUCGUGCUGCUGCUAGAGCCAUCUUCCUCAACCUCUCCUUCCCCCUUGCUGGAUCAAGGAGGAGACGUUACGCUGACCGUACGUGUGUUGAACGCGGAGGUGCCGUCCGUUCGGCGCUAGGAUCUCCGGUGAUUUGGAUCACAUCGAGUACGACUCCCUCAUCCCCGUUCUUUGAACGCUUCCGCUCGCGAUAUACAAGGUACGUAGAUGCGUCCAACCACCCGUUGCUAGAUGAACUCAUAGAUGGAUCUUGGUGAAACCGUAGGAAAAUUUUUGUUUUCUACAACGUUCCCCAACAGUGGCAUCAUGAGCCAGGUUUAUGCGUAGUUCUCUAUGCACGAGUAGAACACAAUUUGUUGUGGGCGUUGAUGUUGUCAACUUUCUUGCCGCUACUAGUCUUAUCUUGUUUCAACGGUAUUGUGGGAUGAAGCGGCCCGGACCAACCUUACACGUACGCUUACGUGAGACCGGUUCCACCGACUGGCAUGCACUAGUUGCAUAAGGUGGCUGGCGGGUGUCUGUCUCUCCCACUUUAGUUGGAGCGGAUUCGAUGAAAAGGGUCCUUAUGAAGGGUAAAUAGAAGUUGACAAAUCACGUUGUGGCUUUCACGUAGGUAAGAAAACGUUCUUGCUAGAACCCUCUUGCAGCCACGUAAAACUUGCAACAACAAUUAGAGGACGUCUAACUUGUUUUUGCAGCAAGUGCUUUGUGAUAUGAUAUAUAUGGCCAAAGUUGUGAUGAAUGAUGAAUGAUAUAUAUGUGAUGUAUGAGAUGUUCAUGCUAUUGUAAUAGGAAUCACGACUUGCAUGUCGAUGAGUAUGACAACCGGCAGGAGCCAUAGGAGUUGUCUUUAUUUUGUAUGACCUGCGAGUCAUUGAGAAACGCCAUGUAAAUUACUUUACUUUAUUGCUAAACGUGUUAGCCAUAGUAGUAGAAGUAAUAGUUGGCGAGCAACUUCAUGGAGACACGAUGAUGGAGAUCAUGAUGAUGGAGAUCAUGGUGUCAUGCCGGUGACAAGAUGAUCAUGGAGCCCCAAGAUGGAGAUCAAAGGAGCUAUGUGAUAUUGGCCAUAUCAUGUCACUAUUAUUAUUUGAUUGCAUGUGAUGUUUAUCAUGUUUUUGCAUCUUGUUUACUUAGAACGACGGUAGUAAAUAAGAUGAUCCCUCAUAAUAAUUUCAAGAAAGUGUCCCCCCUAACUGUGCACCGUUGCGACAGUUCGUUGUUUCAAAGCACCACGUGAUGAUCGAGUGUGAUAGAUUCUAACGAUCACAUACAACGGGUGUAAGACAGAUUUACACAUGCAAACACUUAGGUUGACUUGACGAGCCUAGCAUGUACAGACAUGGCCUCGGAACACAGAAGACCGAAAGGUCGAGCAUGAGUCGUAUAGAAGAUAUGAUCAACAUGAAGAUGUUCGCCGAUGUUGACUAGUCCGUCUCACGUGAUGAUCGGACACGGCCUAGUUAACUCGGAUCAUGUUAUACUUAGAUGACUGGAGGGAUGUCUAUCUAAGUGAGAGUUCAUUUGAUUAGAUGAACUUAAUUAUCAUGAACUUAGUCUAAAAUAUUUACAAUAUGUCUUGUAGAUCAAAUGGCCAACGUAGUCCUCAACUUCAACGCAUUCCUAGAGAAAACCAAGCUGAAAGACGAUGGCAGCAACUACACGGACUGGGUCCGGAACCUGAGGAUCAUCCUCAUAGCUGCCAAGAAAGAUUAUGUCCUACAAGCACCGCUAGGUGACGCACCUAUUCUCCCUGCAGAACAAGAUGUUAUGAACGCUUGACAGGCAUGUACCGAUGACUACUCCCUCGUUCAGUGCGGCAUGCUUUACAGCUUAGAGCCGGGACUCCAAAAAUGUUUUGAGAGACACGGAGCAUAUGAGAUGUUUGAAGAGCUGAAAAUGGUUUUCCAAGCUCAUGCCCGGGUCGAGAGAUAUCAAGUCUCCGACAAGUUCUUCAGCUGUAAGAUGGAGGAAAACAGUUCUGUCAGUGAGCACAUACUCACUAUGUCUGGGUUGCAUAACCGCUUGACUCAGCUGGGAGUUAAUCCCCCGGAUGACGCGGUCAUUGACAGAAUCCUUCAGUCGCUUCCACCGAGCUACAAGAGCUUUGUGAUGAACUUCAAUAUGCAGGGGAUGGAAAAGACCAUUCCUGAAGUAUUUGCUAUGCUGAAAUCAGCAGAGGUAGAAGUCAAAAAGGAACAUCAAGUGUUGAUGGUGAAUAAAACCACUAAGUUCAACAAGGGCAAGGGUAAGAAGAACUUCAAGAAGGACGGCAAGGGAGUUGCCGUGCCCAGCAAGCAAGCUGCCGGGAAGAAGCCAAAGAAUGGACCCAAGCCCGAGACUGAGUGUUUUUAUUGCAAGGGAAGUGGUCACUAGAAGCGGAACUGCCCCAAAUACUUAGUGGACAAGAAGGCCGGCAUCACAAAAGGUAUAUGUGAUAUACAUGUAAUUGAUGUGUACCUUACCAGUACUCGUAGUAGCUCUUCGGUAUUUGAUACCGGUGUAGUUGCUCACAUUUGUAACUCAAAGCAGGAGCUGCGGAAUAAGCGGAGACUGGCGAAGGACGAGGUGACGAUGCGCGUCGGGAAUGGUUCCAAGGUCGAUGUGAUCACCGUCGGCACGCUACCUCUACAUUUACCUACGGGAUUAGUUCUAAACCUCAAUAAUUGUUAUUUAGUGCCAGCUUUGAGCAUGAACAUUGUAUCGGGAUCUCGUUUAAUACGAGAUGGCUAUUCAUUUAAAUCCGAGAAUAAUGGUUGUUCUAUUUAUAUGAGAGAUAUGUUUUAUGGUCAUGCUCCGAUGGUGAAUGGUUUAUUCUUAAUGAAUCUCGAGCGUAAUGUACACAUAUUCAUAGUGUGAGUACCAAAAGAUGUAAGGUUGAUAAUGAUAGUCCCACAUACUUGUGGCACUGCCGCCUUGGUCACAUAGGUGUCAAACGCAUGAAGAAGCUCCAUGCAGAUGGACUUUUAGAGUCUCUUGAUUACGAAUCAUUUGACACGUGCGAACCAUGCCUCAUGGGUAAAAUGACCAAGACUCCGUUCUCAGGAACAAUGGAGCGAGCAACCAACUUAUUGGAAAUCAUACAUACUGAUGUGUGCGGUCCAAUGAGUGUUGAGGCUCGCGGUGGCUAUCGUUAUGUUCUCACCCUCACUGAUGACUUGAGUAGAUAUGGGUAUAUCUAUUUAAUGAAACACAAGUCUGAGACCUUUGAAAAGUUCAAGGAAUUUCAGAGUGAGGAUGAAAAUCAACGUGACAGGAAAAUCAAGUUCCUAUGAUCAGAUCGUGGAGGAGAAUACUUGAGUCACGAAUUUGGCACACACUUAAGAAAACGUGGAAUAGUUUCACAACUCACGCCGCCUGGAACACCUCAGCGUAAUGGUGUGUCCGAACAUCAUAAUCGCACUCUAUUAGAUAUGGUGCGAUCUAUGAUGUCUCUUACCGGUUUACCGCUAUCUUUUUGGGGCUAUGCUUUAGAGACUGCCGCAUUCACUUUAAAUAGGGCUCCGUCGAAAUCCGUUGAGACGACACCGUAUGAAUUAUGGUUUGGGAAGAAACCUAAGCUGUCGUUUCUAAAAGUUUUGGGAUGCGAUGCUUAUGUCAAGAAACUUCAACCUGAAAAGCUCGAACCCAAGUCGGAAGAAUGCGUCUUCAUAGGAUACCCUAAAGAAAUUAUUGGGUAUACCUUCUACCUCAGAUCCGAAGGCAAGAUCUUUGUUGCCAAGAAUGGAUCCUUUCUAGAGAAAGAGUUCCUCUCGAAAGAAGUAAGUGGGAGGAAAGUAGAACUUGAUGAAGUAUUACCUCUUGAACCGGAAAAGGGCGCAACUCAAGAAAAUGUUCCUGAGGUGCCUGCACCGACUAGAGAGGAAGUUAAUGAUGAUGAUCAAGAUACUUCUGAUCAAGCUCCUACUGAAAUUCGUAGGUCCACAAGGACACGUUCCGCACCAGAGUGGUACGGCAACCCUGUCUUGGAAAUCAUGUUGUUAGACAACGGUGAACCUUCGAACUAUGAAGAAGCGAUGGCGAGCCCGGAUUCCGACAAAUGGCUGGAAGCCAUGAAAUCCGAGAUAGGAUCCAUGUAUGAAAACGAAGUAUGUACUUUGACUGACUUGACCGUUGAGCGGCGAGCCAUAGAAAAUAAAUGGAUCUUUAAGAAGAAGACAGACGCGGAUGGUAAUGUGACCAUCUAUAAAGCUCGGCUUGUCGCUAAGGGUUAUCGACAAGUUCAAGGGGUUGACUACGAUGAGACUUCUCACCGGUAGCGAAGCUAAAGUCCAUCCGAAUCAUGUUAGCAAUUGCCGCAUUCUACGAUUAUGAGAUAUGGCAAAUGGACGUCAAAACGGCAUUCCUUAAUGGUUUCCUUAAGGAAGAAUUGUAUAUGAUGCAGCCGGAAGGUUUUGUCGAUCCUAAGAAUGCUAACAAGGUUUGCAAGCUCCAACGCUCGAUUUAUGGGCUGGUGCAAGCAUCUCGGAGUUGGAAUAUUCGCUUUGAUGAGAUGAUCAAGGCGUUUGGGUUUACGCAGACUUAUGGAGAAGCCUGCGUUUACAAGAAAGUGAGUGGGAGCUCUGUAGCAUUUGUCAUAUUAUAUGUAGAUGACAUACUUUUGAUGGGAAAUGAUAUAGAACUCUUGGACAGCAUUAAGGCCUACUUGAAUAAGAGUUUUUCAAUGAAGGACCUUGGAGAAGCUGCUUAUAUAUUAGGCAUCAAGAUAUAUAGAGAUAGAUCAAGACGCCUCAUAGGUCUUUCACAAAGCACAUACCUUGAUAAGAUAUUGAAGAAGUUCAAUAUGGAUCAGUCUAAGAAGGGGUUCUUGCCUGUGUUGCAAGGUGUGAAAUUGAGCUCAGCUCAAUGUCCGACCAUGGCAGAAGAUAUAGAAGAGAUGAGUGUCAUCCCCUAUGCCUCAGCCAUAGGUUCUAUUAUGUAUGCCAUGCUGUGUACCAGACGUGAUGUAAACCUUGCCGUAAGUUUGGUAGGAAGGUACCAAAGUAAUCCCGGCAAGGAACACUGGACAGCGGUCAAGAAUAUCUUGAAUUACCUGAAAAGGACUAAGGAGAUGUUUCUCAUCUAUGGAGGUGACGAAGAGCUCGUCAUAAAGGGUUACAUCGACGCUAGCUUCGACACAAAUCUGGAUGACUCUAAGUCACAAAGCGGAUACGUGUAUAUUUUGAAUGGUGGGGCAGUAAGCUGGUGCAGUUGCAAGCAGAGCGUCGUGGCGGGAUCUACAUGUGAAGCGGAGUACAUGGCAGCCUCGGAGGCAGCACAUGAAGCAAUUUGGGUGAAGGAGUUCAUCACCGACCUAGGAGUCAUACCCAAUGCAUCGGGGCCGAUCAAACUCUUCUGUGACAACACUGGAGCUAUUGCACUUGCCAAGGAGCCCAGGUUUCACAAGAAGACCAGGCACAUCAAGCGUCGCUUCAACUCCAUUCGUGAAAAUGUUCAAGAUGGAGACAUAGAUAUUUGUAAAGUACAUACGGACCUGAAUGUAGCAGAUCCGUUGACUAAACCUCUCCCUAGAGAAAAACAUGAUCAACACCAUAAUUCCAUGGGUGUUCGAUUCAUCACAAUGUAACUAGAUUAUUGACUCUAGUGCAAGUGGGAGACUGUUGGAAAUAUGCCCUAGAGGCAAUAAUAAAAGCAUUAUUAUUAUAUUUCCUUGUUCAUGAUAAUUAUCUUUUAUUCAUGCUAUAAUUGUGUUAUCCUGAAAUCUUAAUACAUGUGUGAAUAAUAGACACCAACAUGUCCCUAGUAAGCCUCUAGUUGACUUGCUCGUUGAUCAACAGAUAGUCAUGGUUUCCUAACUAUGGACAUUGGAUGUCAUUGAUAACGAGAUCACAUCAUUAGGAGAAUGAUGUGAUGGACAAGACCCAAUCCUAAACAUAGCACAAGAUCGUAUAGUUCGUUUGCUAGAGUUUUCCAAUGUCAAGUAUCCUUUCCUUAGACCAUGAGAUCGUGUAACUCCCGGAUGCCGUAGGAGUGCUUUGGGUGUACCAAACAUCACAACGUAACUGGGUGACCAUAAAGGUAUACUACGGGUAUCUCCGAAAGUGUCUGUUGGGUUGACACGGAUCAAGACUGGGAUUUGUCACUCCGUAUGACGGAGAGGUAUCACUGGGCCCACUCGGUAAUGCAUCAUCAUUAUGAGGUCAAAGUGGCCAAGUGUCUGGUCACGGGAUCAUGCAUUACGGUACGAGUAAAGUGAGUUGCCAGUAACGAGAUUGAAUGAGGUAUUGGGAUACCGACGAUCGAAUCUCGGGCAAGUAACGUACCGAUUGACAAAGGGAAUUGUAUACGGGGUUGCUUGAAUCCUCGACAUCGCGGUUCAUCCGAUGAGAUCAUCGAGGAGCAUGUGGGAGCCAACAUGGGUAUCCAGAUCCCGGUGUUGGUUAUUGACCGGAGAGCAAUCUCGGUCAUGUCUACAUGUCUCCCAAACCCGUAGGGUCUACACACUUAAGGUUCGGUGACGCUAGGGUUGUAGGGAUAUGUAUGUGCAGUAACCCGAAUGUUGUUCGGAGUCCCGGAUGAGAUCCCGGACGUCACGAGGAGUUCCGGAAUGGUCCGGAGGUAAAGUAUUAUAUAUAGGAAGUGCUAUUUCGGCUAUCGGGACAAGUUUCGGGGUCACCGGUAUUGUACCGGGACCAUCGAAAGGGUCCCGGGGGUCCACCAGGUGGGGCCACCUAUCUCGGAGGGCCCCAUGGGCUGAACUGGGAAGGGAUCCAGCCCAAAGUGGGCUGGGGCGCCACUUCCCCUAGGGCCCAUGCGCCUGGGGUGGGGAAACCCUAAAGGGGGGCGCCCCCUUGCUUGGGGGGCAAGCCCCCCACCCCUUGGCCGCCGCCCCCCCUAGGAGAUUGCAUCUCCUAGGGCCGCCGCCCCCCCUAGUCCCCCUAUAUAUAGUGGGGGGGAGGGAGGGCCUCUCACCUACGCUAUUGGUGCCUCCCUCUCCCUCUCCAACACCUCCUCCUUCUCCAUAGAGCUUGGCGAAGCCCUGCCGGAGUAUUGCAGCUCCAUCACCACCACGCCGUCGUGCUGCUGCUGGAGCCAUCUUCCUCAACCUAUCCUUCCCCCUUGCUGGAUCAAGAAGGAGGAGGCGUUACGCUGACCGUACGUGUGUUGAACGCGGAGGUGCCGUCCGUUCGGCGCUAGGAUCUCCGGUGAUUUGGAUCACGUCGAGUAUGACUCCCUCAUCCCCGUUCUUUGAACGCUUCCGCUCGCGAUCUACAAGGUACGUAGAUGCAUCCAACCACUCGUUGCUAGAUGAACUCAUAGAUGGAUCUUGGUGAAACCGUAGGAAUUUUUUUGUUUUGUGCAACGUUCCCCAACACUUGUAGCUUGGUGGCAGUGAUUGGAGAAUUCUGUCAAUGAUGCAAUCAUCUGGAAGAUUAACUCCCAAUUGAAUCAAGUGAUUAUUAUACCCAGACAUUUUGAGUAUAUGCUCACUGACAGAACUGUUCUCCUCCAUCUUGCAGCUAUAGAACUUAUUAGAGACUUCAUAUCUCUCAAUCCGGGCAUUUGCUUGAAAUAUUAACUUCAACUUCUGGAACAUCUCAUAUGUUCCAUGACGUUCAAAACAUCGUUGAAGUCCCGAUUCUAAGACGUAAAGCAUGGCACGCUGAGCUAUUGAGUACUCAUUAGCUUUGCUCUGCCAGACGUUCAUAACAUCUGGUGUUGCUCCAGCAGCAGACCUGGCACCCAGCGGUGCUUCCAGGACGUAAUUCUUCUAUGCAGCAAUGAGGAUAAUCCUCAAGUUACGGACCCAGUCCGUGUAAUUGCUACCAUCAUCUUUCAACUUUGCUUUCUCAAGGAACGCAUUAAAAUUCAACGGAACAAUAGCACGGGCCAUCUAUCUACAAUCAAACAUAAACAAGCAACAUACUAUCAGGUACUAAGUUCAUGAUAAAUUUAGAUUCAAUUAAUCAUAUUACUAAAGAACUCCCACUUAGGUAGACAUCCCUCUAAUCCUCGAAGUGAUUACGUGAUCCAAAUCAACUAAACCAUGUCCGAUCAUCACGUGAGAUGGAGUAAUUUCAUUGGUGAACAUCGCUAUGUUGAUCAUAUCUACUAUAUGAUUCACGCUCGACCUUUCGUUCUCUGUGUUCCGAGGCCAUAUCUGUAUAUGCUUGGCUCGUCAAGUAUAACCUGAGUAUUCUGCGUGUGCAACUAUUUUGCACCCGUUGUAUUUGAACAUAGAGCCUAUCACACCCGAUUAUCACGUGGUGUCUCAGCACGAAGAACUUUUGCAAUGGUGCAUACUCAGGGAGAACACUUCUUUAUAAUUAGUGAGAGAUCAUCUUAAAAUGCUAUCAUCAAUCAAAGCAAGAUAAGAUGCAUAAAAGAUAAACAUCACAUGCAAUCAAUAUAAGUGAUAUGAUAUGGCCAUCAUCAUCUUGUGCUUGUGAUCUCCAUCUUCGAAGCACCGUCGUGAUCACCAUCGCCACCGGCGCGACACCUUGAUCACCAUCGUAGCAUCGUUGUCUUCUCGCCAAUCUUAUGCUUCCACGACUAUCACUACCGCUUAGUGAUAAAGUAAAGCAUUACAGCACAAUUGCAUUGCAUACAACAAAGCGACAACCAUAUGGCUCCUGCCGGUUGCCGAUAACUUGGUUACAAAACAUGAUCAUCUCAUACAAUAAAAUUUAGCAUCAUGUCUUAACCAUGUCACAUCACAACAUGCCCUGCAAAAAUAAGUUAGACGUCCUCUACUUUGUUGUUGCAAGUUUUACGUGGCUGCUACGGGCUUAAGCAAGAACCAAUCUUACCUACGCAUCAAAACCACAACGAUAGUUUGUCAAGUUGGUGUUGUUUUAACCUUCGCAAGGACUGGGCGUAGCCACACUCGGUUCAACUAAAGUUGGAGAAACUGUCACCCGCUAGCCACCUUUGUGCAAAGCAUGUCGGGAGAACCGGUCUCGCAUAAGCGUACACAUAAUGUCGGUCCAGGCCGCUUCGUCCAACAAUACCGCCGAACCAAAGUAUGACAUGCUGGUAAGCAGUAUGACUUAUAUCGCCCACAACUCACUUGUGUUCUACUCGUGCAUAUAACAUCAACACAUAAAACCUAGGCUCGGAUGCCACUGUAGGGGAACGUAGUAAUUUCAAAAAAAAUUCCUACGCACACGCAAGAUCAUGGUGAUGCAUAGCAACGAGAGGGGAGAGUGUGAUCUACGUACCCUUGUAGACCGACAGCGGAAGCGUUAGCACAACGCGGUUGAUGUAGUCGUACGUCUUCACGGCCCGACCGAUCAAGCACCGAAACUACGGCACCUCCGAGUUCUAGCACACGUUCAGCUCGAUGACUAUCCCCGGACUCCGAUCCAGCAAAGUGUCGGGGAAGAGUUCCGUCAGCAUGACGGCGUGGUGACGAUCUUGAUGUACUACCGUCGCAGGGCUUCGCCUAAGCACCGCUACAAUAUUAUCGAGGAUUAUGGUGGAAGGGGGCACCGCACACGGCUAAGUAUAUGAUCACGUGGAUCAACUUGUGUGUCAAGGGGUGCCCCUUGCCCCCGUAUAUAAACGAUCAAGGGGAGGAGGCCGGCCGGCCCCUAUGGCGCACCAAGGAGGAGUCCUCCUCCUAGUAUGAGUAGGACUCCUACUAUGAGGGGAAAAGAAGUGGGGAGGGAGAAGGAAAGGGGGGGCGCCCCCCCUCUCCUAGUCCAAUUCGGACCAGGGGGGAGGAGGCGCGCGGCCCACCUUUGGCUGCCCCUCUCUCUCUCCACUAAGGCCCAUAUGGCCCAUUGCUUCUCCCGGGGGGGUUCCGGUAACCCUCCGGCUCUCUGAUUUUCUCCGAAAUCACCCGGAACACUUCCGGUGUCUGAAUAUAGCCGUCCAAUAUAUCAAUCUUUAUGUCUCGACCAUUUCGAGACUCCUCGUCAUGUCCGUGAUCACAUCCGGGACUCCAAACUAACUUCGGUACAUCAAAACUCAUAAACUCAUAAUAUAACUGUCAUCGAAACCUUAAGCAUGCGGACCCUACGGGUUCGAGAACAAUGUAGACAUGACCGAGACACGUCUCCGGUCAGUAACCAAUAGUGGAACCUGGAUGCUCAUAUUGGCUCCUACAUAUUCUACGAAGAUCUUUAUCGGUCAGACCGCAUAACAACAUACGUUGUUCCCUUUGUCAUCGGUAUGUUACUUGCUCGAGAUUCGAUCGUCGGUAUCUCAAUACCUAGUUCAAUCUCGUUACCGGCAAGUCUCUUUACUCGUUUCAUAAUACAUCAUCUCGCAACUAACUCAUUAGUUGUAAUGCUUGCAAGGCUUAUGUGAUGUGCAUUACCGAGAGGGCCCAGAGAUACCUCUCCGACAAUCGGAGUGACAAAUCCUAAUCUCGAAAUACGCCAACCCAACAUUCAUCUUUGGAGACACCUAUAGAGCUCCUUUAUAAUCACCCAGUUACGUUGUGACGUUUGGUAGCACACAAAGUGUUCCUCCGGUAAACGGGAGUUGCAUAAUCUCAUAGUCAUAGGAACAUGUAUAAGUCAUGAAGAAAGCAAUAGCAACAUACUAAACGAUCGGGUGCUAAUCUAAUGGAAUGGGUCAUGUCAAUCACAUCAUUCUCCUGAUGAUGUGAUCCCAUUAAUCAAAUGACAACACAUGUAUAUGGUUAGGAAACAUAACCAUCUUCGAUUAAUCAGCUAGUCAAGUAGAGGCAUACUAGUGACACUUUGUUUGUCUAUGUAUUCACACAUGUAUUAUGUUUCCGGUUAAUACAGUUCUAGCAUGAAUAAUAAACAUUUAUCAUGAAAUAAGGAAAUAAAUAAUAACUUUAUUAUUGCCUCUAGGGCAUAUUUCCUUCAUAAAACCCUACUCCUGCUUUGGUGGAUUGUAUAUUUGUGUUCUUGAGCUAGCUAUGGGGCGUGAGGAGAUCCAAAAAGCCGAAUCCUCCUCCUGGUCGCCUCGGGCCUCCUUUUAUAGGAAAGGGGUUGCCACAGUGGCACACAGGAGGUGGAAAGGGUACAGUGAUGCAAGGUUAUCCCUCGCAUUACAUGACAAGGCGCAUUUAAUGCGUCUUGCCCAGGUGUCCUAGCUUUAUCGGGGACGGGGGAGAGCCCUGUCUCGUCCGUCGCUGCUCUCUCUUGUGUCGACACGCGCCCUGGCCAGCGGCGCCCGCGGCGCCAUGCAGGCAGGCAAGCAGCUGAGGUGGCGCAGUGGUGGGUCUCCAUGAAGAUCCGCAUGCCGCCACGUAGGUGCCUGCCCAGCUGGUUGGGUCGGCAGCUGCAUGCGAACGGCGGUGGAGGUUUGACUGGCGUGGGCCUGAUGGUGGCCCUACGGGUGUUCUUGGCAAAGGCCUUGCCGGGUGUAGGAUUGAAAGUAUGUCUAGAGGGGGUGAUUAGACUACUUGACCAAUUAAAAACUUAGCCUUUUCACAAUUUUAGUUCUUGGCAGAUUUUAGCUAUCUUAGAGAAAGUCAAGCAAUCAUCACACAAUUCAAGCAAGCAUGCAAAGAGUUUAUUGGCAGCGGAAAGUAAAGCAUGCAACUUGCAAGAAUGUAAAGGGAAGGGUUUGGAGGAUUCAAACGCAAUUGGAGACACGGAUGUUUUCCCGUGGUUCGGAUAGGUGGUGCUAUCCUACAUCCACGUUGAUGGAGACUUCAACCCACGGAGGGUAAUGGUUGCGCGAGUCCAUGGAGGGCUCCACCCACGAAGGGUCCACGAAGAAGCAACCUUGUCUAUUCCAUCAUGGCCAUCGCCCACGAAGGACUUGCCUCACUAGCGGUAGAUCUUCAUGAAGUAGGCGAUCUCCUUGCCCUUACAAACUCCUUGGUUCGACUCCACAAUCUUGUCGGAGGCUCCCAAGUGACACCUAGCCAAUCUAGGAGACACCACUCUCCAAGAAGUAACAAAUGGUGUGUUGAUGAUGAACUCCUUGCUCUUGUGCUUCAAAUGAUAGUCUCCCCAACACUCAACUCUCUCUCAUAGGAUUUGGAUCUGGUGGAAAGAAGAUUUGAGUGGAAAGCAACUUGGGGAAGGCUAGAGAUCAAGAUUCAUAUGGUAGGAAUGGAAUAUCUUGGUCUCAACACAUGAGUAGGUGGUUCUUUUUCAGAGCAUAUGAGUAGGAAUGGUGUAUGUGUUCUGAUGGCUCUCUCUUCGAAUGAAGAGGAGGUGGAGGGGUAUUUAUAGCCUCCACACAAAAUCCAACCGUUACACACAAUCUACCAAUCUCGGUGGGACCGAAUCAGAAAACUCGGUCUGACCGAAAUAGUAAACCUAGUGACCGUUAGGAAUUUCGGUGGGACUGAGAUGCAACUCGGUAGGACCGAUUCGGUUAGGGUUUGGGCAUAACGUAAUCUCGGUGAGACCGAUCGCACAAACUCGGUGAGACCGAAUUCGGCAAUUAGCUAACCAGAGAGUUGGUCAGGCAAACUCGGUGGGACCGACUUGCUCUUUCGGUGAGACCGAAAAGUUACAAGAAGGAAACAUAGAGUUUACCUUGCAUUCUCGGUGGGACCGAUUCGCUCUUUCGGUGAGACCGAAAAGUUACGAAAGGGAAACAAAGAGUUUGCAAGCCCAUCUCGGUGAGACCGAGAUCCUUAUCGGUAGGACCGAAUUGCUAGGGUUUGGCAGUGGCAAAUGACAAGUGAAACUCGGCGGCGCCGGAUUGACAGAAUCGGUAUGACCGAGUUUGGCUUAGGGUUUAGGUUAUUUGUGGAUAUGGAAAGGUGGUUGAGGAUUUUGGAGCAUAUCACUAAGCACAUAAAGCAAGAGGCUCAUUAAGCAACACCUCAUCCCUCCUUGAUAGUAUUGGCUUUUCCUAAAGACUCAAUGUGAUCUUGUAUCACUAAAAUAUAAAAUGAAGAGUCUUGAACUUUCGAGCUUGAGCCAAUUCUUUGUCCUUAGCAUUUUGAGGGUUCCACUUUCAUAUCCAUGCCAUGCCAAUCAUUGAGCUUUCCUGAAAUAAUCAUCUUGAAAUAGCAUUAGCUCAAUGAGCUAUAUGUUGUUAUAAAUUACCAAAACCACCUAGGGAUAGUUGCACUUUCAUUCUCCCCUUUUUGGUAAUUGAUGACAACAUAUAGAUCAAAGCUUCGACAAAUAAUAAUAAUCAUGAAAUACAUCGUCGCUUUGAGAAGUAUGUGAUAAGUAAGAGCUCCCCCUAAAUUUGUGCAUAUUUUAAGAUUUGCUUUGGACUGCAAAUGCACAAGGAGUUAGAAUCAUGGGUUACUCUUCCAUGUCACAUACAUCUUGGUGGAGCGCUCAAAAAUGAUAAGAUUGAAAUACAUGCACUCAUCACCAAGAAUAGUGAAUGAUCACAAACGAUAGAUAGAAUGAUAACAUUUAGCAAGCAUUAAGCAACCAUUAAGUGUAGCUUAUGAUCAAACACUUGAUCAUCGAUGUCUCACGAAUAAUGACAUAGUAUCGCACACGCAAGCAAACAAAGUUCGAAAAACCACCAAAUAAAAACAAGAGAGAAUAAAAGCAACACUCUCUCUCGAAGCCUAUGAUCUAUACAUUUUCUCCCCCUUUGGCAACAAGUUACCAAAAAGUUCCUAGAAAAUGCAUAGUGCUAAGUCGACGCUCAGGCUUGAUCUUCAGGUGGUGGUGGAGUCCGGAGCACGCCAAGGACGAAGCCUUCGGUAGAAGUGGUCGGAGUCGAGGCUGAAGUGGAUGCUGGAGCUGGUGGAACUAAGGUUGUGGCUGGCACAGACGUUCUGGCUCUGGUGUCAGCAACUGGCAGUGUAGACGACCUCGGACCUCGUGGCACCCUCGCAAAAGCAUCAGUCAUGGUCCUGCCUCUCCUCUCAUUCAUGUCCUCCUGAAGCUGCUCCACGGCGGUCUGUAUCUCUGUCACCUUGAUGUCCAUGUCAUAGAACCUCUGUUCCAUGAUCCUCUCUAGGCUUGCCUGGUUCUGAGUCAGGGUGGCAAGUCCUUGCUCAAUACGCAGGGUGGACGCUAUCAGGUAACCGAGCUGAUCUUGUUUGGUUUUUAGGAAGUAAUCAGAUGCCUCCGCUUGAGUAGGCAUCCUGGCAGCUUUCUCCUUCUUCGCCUUCUCCUUCCGAGCUUGUGCAUGAGCAGAUGAGGGUUCAUUCUCAGUCAUAACCACUUGGUUAUCCUCAAAAUCUGGACGGAUGGGCAGGUGUUCCUUAUCUAAUAAAUACACGCCCGUGCCCAUCUUGGAGUUGAUGAGCUCCUGAAUCUGUGGGGCAUACCCACAACUCCUCUUCUGGUCUGCAACUGUCCUCUUGAUUGUUUCCACAAUGAGACUCAUGACCUUGAAUUUCUGAGGCACGUCAAAGACAUGAAGCAAGUUGAUCGUGUGACCUCUGAUCAUCUUGUGAUCUCCAGAUUUGGGCAGAAGGGUGUGCCUAAGGAUCCAGUUGAUCGUAGGCAAUCCUGAGAGCAGAUAAUGCACUGAGCCAAACUUGAACGUGUCGAGCGCUUCAUUCGGGGUCUCCUUGUACAUGUUGGACAUGGAGUUGUGAUCCAUCUUUUUCUUGGCAUAAAUGUCCAAGUCAUCAGCUUGCUCCUCUGGGGCAUUGAUCAACUUCGCCCAUUCUUCAACAGUGGAUUGGUACCUUGUACCCUCUGACAUCCAUGUGAUCCUGCCAUCCGGAUAAAAGUGUGCUGUGGAGUAGAAUUGCAUGAUCAGCUCCUUGUUCCACUUUGUGAGCUUCUGCCCAACAAAGUCUGCAACUCCACACGCACUAAAGCUGUCAAAUACACCGGGGUAGUACUCUUCAUUGUCCUUGAUGUAGGUCCAGUCGACCCAUCUCAUGUCACAAACGAUUGGCUUCUUGUCAAGCAAAACAGUCUCAUAGAAAUCUUGCUGUUCCUUGGUAUGAAAUCUGUAAUCCACGGCAGUCCUUCUCCUAGAAGCAUACGGAUCUGCUUCUCUCCAUUUCCUUAGCCCUGAGUCUCUCCUGAGCUUCAUAUCCUCAGCCACAGGAUGAACAUCGUUGUGGUCUGGGAUCUUGGGCUUGAGCUUCCUAAGGACACUCUCUCCCUCUUCUUCGAUAGCUUCAGGCAUUGGGGCCUUGUUCUUUUCCGCAGCUGGGAUGCUUCGUGUGUUUCUCUUUGGUGCACUCUUAGGCUUAGAUGCAGCCUUAGGUGCAUCCUUGGGCUUGGAUGCAGCUGUUCCUGACCUUAUAGCAUCUCCCAUGAGUUUGGCUGCCUUAGGUGCUGGUGCAGCAACCUCUUCUUCUUCCUCCUCAUCUACCAUGAUGGAGGCCUUCCCAAGCACUCUGGCUACAGUCUUAUUUACCCUCUCUUUCCUCUUCUUGCCCUCAGCAGCAACGGGCUCAACGGGAGCAGGCUUCACCGUUGAAGCUCUAGCCUUUGACAUGGGCUGCCUGCCUGCUGGCCUUUUGAUUUUCAGCCCUGGCUUUGUGCCUUGAGCUGGUUCAGCUCUCUUUGAUGUGGCCUCUUCCUCUGCCACAUAGUCUUCAUCCUCAGAAUCAGACGUUCUCUUCUUCCUUUGAUGUGUGGCAGCCUUAGGCAGAUUGCUGGGGGUGCUCCUGCUGCCAUCAUCAGAAGAACUUGAGGGGCUAGUGCCCUCACUCAUCACAACUUGCUGCUCAGACACAUUCUGGCUGUCACUUUGAUCAGACAUGUUGCAAACUGACUGCUGACCCUGUGAAUAGAUUAUGGAUAAGAUAGAGUGGAUGAGCAUCACAAAAAGUAGAGAUUUUUGCAAAAGAUUAAUUCAAAAACUUAGUUUUAGUUUUCCAAAGAAAGCAUCUCGGAUCUACCGAUUUUCAAACUCGGUGACACCGAAGCAGUUUUGGCACCAAAACUGGUGAACUCGGUCAGACCGAGUCACAGUUCGGUGGCACCGAGACUGCUAGCAUUUCACAGAAUUCAAAAUCGAUCGCACCGAUAAGUUAUUCUCGGUCAGACCGAGUUUCACUUGUGCAAUGGCAAAAGCCAGAUCGGUGGGACCGAGUUUUUCAACUCGGUGGGUCCGAGAUGGUUUCGGCGGAAACCUAACCCUAAAAUUUUCGAAUUAAACCUAAUCUACCAGUUCAUUGACUGGAUAGGAGUGUUUCAAUCGUGGCAAGAAUCAUGAUGAUCGCAAUGUGCUAGGAAUCGGAGUGGAGAAUAGCACAAAGAUCGAGUCCAUACCCUAGUUCGGCGGAGACUCGCUACGGCGGCAACGGCGGGGCAGAAUUCCGUUGACGGCGGCGGAGACCAGCGACUGGAGGCUGCUGGUGGCGAGAAGACGAUCCGGAGACCACGGAGGCAGAGCAGGCUAUCGCGCGGGCGAAGAGGUUUCGGAGAAAUUUCCAAAAUUUUGCCCGUCACUAUAUAUAGCCCGACCCUGUCGGUGUGACCGAGUGGAACAACUCGGUGGCACCGAGAUGCAAAACUGUGUGCAGUUAUUGCAACUCGGUGUGACCGAAAAGUUCAAAUCGGUUGCACCGAGAUCGAAAACCUAGAUCAACUUAAUGAACUCGGUAGGACCGAAAAUGGAGUAUCGGUCAGACCGAGAUUCAUAAAGAGGUUUUGGAAGUUUAAGUCUAUGACGAAUCGGGGACUCCGAGCGCUCCUCACACAGAGUGGUUCGAAUCUGACUUGAUCAAGUUUUGUGAUGCAGCAUGAAUAGAGUUUGAGACGAGAAAAGCAUAGAUAGCUAGAGGAGGUUCUUAGGCAUUCUUGUCCAUCCACUUGGCAAAAGAAGAAAGCCAAACAAUCAAAACAACAAGUGGAUGUCCUCGAAUGAGUAAAAUAUGCAACCAACAUGCUCACACAAUAAGAUGGCAAAUGAAAUAUGUGGCAAAGCAUGCACAACCAAUUCUAGCAUCUAUCAAGCAAUUUGCGAUGACUAGGUCAUCUAUAUAUGAGUAUAUUGACUUAGGAGUCAAGUGAGAACACUUGAUCAUAGGUCAUACUCAUCGUUUAAGCUCAAGUGGGGUUACCACUUUUACAUAAAGCAUUGUUGUAUUCACAUCUUUAGAGUUGCUUUAGCUCAAGUCUUAGAGUAAAGCUCCCCCUAGAUGUGAUAUCCCCCCUAAGAGGGAUGAACUAACCUUGGGUUUUGUCGAUGAUGACUUCAUGUAGAUGUUGAAGAUGUGGAUGCUCAAUGUUGAUGUAGAUCACUUGGAGCUAUCCAUUUGAGUGAAUUGCACUUUCAAUACCUACAUGGGUUAGUCCCACAAGGAACAAACAAGGAUAUCCAUAGACAUAGAGUGAUGCACACACAAGAUGAUGUCCAUGAAAACUUUAGGUUACCUUGUCCCUUGUCUUACCAACAAGAGGGUUUGUGACUCCUUGAACUACUGCAAGAUGUGGAAGUUGAUUGCACUUGUUCUUGCCAAAAUGAUAAGAGUGAAGUAUGUUGGCGGAGUCACCCUCAAGAACUCUCUAGUUCUUCUUCUUUUGGAUCCACACCAUCUUGAUGGGAGUCCUUGGAGUUGUAGUCAUACUUGAUGAAGUGGAACUUGACGUGGUCUUGGGAAUCCACUUGACUAAGGUCUUAGGAGCUUCUUCGAAUGCAUCAAUCUCCUCUUGAAGCUUGUCCUUGCCUUUUAGCUUCUAGACUUGUGGUGGAAGAUCAUCUUGAGCUUGUGUCCCCUUGAAAGAAGUGUCAUACUUCUCUUGUUUAGGAACAAACUUUGUCUUGGGGUAUUGAUCUUCUUCCCAUUCAACUCCAUUGGCAUUGAACUUUCGUUCAAAACCAACACCUUGAUUCUUCCGGUGCAUUCCUUGCUUGCGCACAAUUUCCUCGAAUUGCUUACUUCCGGCAAGGCUCUUGUAAACACCUUUCUCUAUAAUUCCCUUCAAUAAGCUAUUUUCUUGCUCAAGUGUAACUUGGCUAAGAGAAUCAUUAGUGGAAUCAAGAGAACUACUAGAAGCAACAAUAUUGGAUUUAGCAUGAUCAUUGUUACUACUAGAGGAAGAAUCUUUCUUGUUCUUGUUACUAGACUUGACUUGAGGCAUGUAAGUGGAUAAUAGUAAACGCUUGGAAAUGUAAGAAGAACUUUUCUUGCGGAGGUCAUCAUUGAUUGCUUUUAAGAACUCAUGCUCUUGCUCAAGAUUGAGCUUUUCAAAGCGUAAUUUCUCAUGAGCUCUUAAAAGUUCUCGAUGAUCUUCAAAGAUAGUUUCAUGAGCUAACUUAAGAGUGUUUAGUUCUUUAGUUAGAGCCUCAAUCUUCUCCUUAUCAUUGUCAUUCGUUUUAGCAUGAUUAAUUGAUGUUUCAUCAUAGUACUCAUCACUAGAGUUGUCAACAAGCAAGUCAUCAUCACCUAACAAGUCAUCUUCAUCACUAUUAAAGUCAACAUACUCGGGGUGUGUUACCUUAGGACCUUUGGCCAUGAAGCAUCUUCCAAUUCCUUCAUUUGGUGAGUCAAAUAUGUCGUAGGAGUUGGUUGACACAAGUGCUAGACCGGCAACACCUUCAUCUUGAGUAUCUUCGGAGUCGGAGUGAUAACUUCUCUCGGAGUGGCUGUCGGAGUUGGAGCCGGAUACCCAUUCACCAACAUGAGCUUGAUGUCUUUGUUUUGUAUAGCUCCUUGAUGAUUUUUCCUUCCUUUCCGAAUCCUUGCUUCUCCGUGAGUAUCUUCGUUCAUAACGAUCAUCUCUACUCCUUCUCUCUCUUGGUGGAGAUUCUUUGCUUCUUCUUUUUGGAGAAUCUUCUCUUCUCUUGUAGGGAGCCGUACACUCAUUGGAAUAGUGUCCGGGUCUUCCACAAUUAUAGCAGUUUUGCUCUCGACUAGAAGAUCUUUUGUCAUUGUAGGACCUUGACUUGAAGCAUCUAUCUUUGUUUCUACUCUUGUAGAACUUGUUGAAGUUCUUCACCAUUAAGCUCAAUUCUUCAUUGAAGUUUUGUUUCUCACUUGAUGAUGUGGGGACUUCACAUGACGCUUUGUAGGCACCACUUGAUUUAUUGUGAAGUUCCUCUUUAUCCUUGAGUGACAUCUCAUGAGCAACAAUCCUUCCAAUUACUUCUGUUGGCUUGAGAUCUUUGUAGUUGGGCAUCAUUUGGAUUAAUGUGCACACGGUAUCAUAUUUCCCAUCCAAGGCUCUUAGGAUCUUCUUGAUGAUGAAUCUAUCGGUCAUCUCUUCACUUCCUAAGCCGGCAAUCUCAUUUGUGAUGAGAGCAAGCCUAGAGUACAUUUCAGCGAUACCUUCACCAUCCUUCAUCUUGAACUUGACAAGUUGACUUUGGAGCACAUCCAACUUGGAUUCCUUGACAGAGUCGGUACCUUCGUGCAUAUCAAUCAAAGUAUCCCAAAUUUCCUUUGCAUUCUCAAGGCGGCUGAUUUUUUUGAAUUCUUCGGGGCACAAUCCGUUGAAGAGAAUAUCACAAGCUUGAGCAUUGUAUUGCAACAUCUUCAACUCAUCCGCAGUAGCUUCACGGUUUGGUUCUCUCCCAUCAAAGAACUCACCUUGCAAACCAACACAAACAAUAGCCCAUACGGCGGGGUUAUGUCCAAGAAUAUGCAUUUUCAUUCUAUGCUUCCAACUGGCAAAAUUAGUGCCAUCAAAGUAAGGACCUCUACGGUGAUAGUUUCCCUCGCUAGACGCCAUACUCUCCUAGGUUGUGAAACCAAGGCUAUGACCACCAAAAGCUAUGGAGAUCAAGGCAAAUGGAGACCAAAGCUCUGAUACCACUUGUAAGAUCAAAAGUAUGUCUAGAGGGGGGUGAUUAGACUACUUGACCAAUUAAAAACUUAGCCUUUUCACAAUUUUAGUUCUUGGCAGAUUUUAGCUAUCUUAGAGAAAGUCAAGCAAUCAUCACACAAUUCAAGCAAGCAUGCAAAGAGUUUAUUGGCAGAGGAAAGUAAAGCAUGCAACUUGCAAGAAUGUAAAGGGAAGGGUUUGGAGGAUUCAAACGCAAUUGGAGACACGGAUGUUUUCCCGUGGUUCGGAUAGGUGGUGCUAUCCUACAUCCAUGUUGAUGGAGACUUCAACCCACGGAGGGUAAUGGUUGCGCGAGUCCACGGAGGGCUCCACCCACGAAGGGUCCAUGAAGAAGCAACCUUGUCUAUUCCAUCAUGGCCAUCGCCCACGAAGGACUUGCCUCACUAGCGGUAGAUCUUCACGAAGUAGGCGAUCUCCUUGCCCUUACAAACUCCUUGGUUCAACUCCACAAUCUUGUCGGAGGCUCCCAAGUGACACCUAGCCAAUCUAGGAGACACCACUCUCCAAGAAGUAACAAAUGGUGUGUUGAUGAUGAACUCCUUGCUCUUGUGCUUCAAAUGAUAGUCUCCCCAACACUCAACUCUCUCUCAUAGGAUUUGGAUCUGGUGGAAAGAAGAUUUGAGUGGAAAGCAACUUGGGGAAGGCUAGAGAUCAAGAUUCAUAUGGUAGGAAUGGAAUAUCUUGGUCUCAACACAUGAGUAGGUGGUUCUUUUUCAGAACAUAUGAGUAGGAAUGGUGUAUGUGUUCUGAUGGCUCUCUCUUCGAAUGAAGAGGAGGUGGCGGGGUAUUUAUAGCCUCCACACAAAAUCCAACCGUUACACACAAUCUACCAAUCUCAGUGGGACCGAAUCAGAAAACUCGGUCUGACCGAAAUAGUAAACCUAGUGACCAUUAGGAAUUUCGGUGGGACUGAGAUGCAACUCGGUAGGACCGAUUCGGUUAGGGUUUGGGCAUAACGUAAUCUCGGUGAGACCGAUCGCACAAACUCGGUGAGACCGAAUUCGGCAAUUAGCUAACCAGAGAGUUGGUCAGGCAAACUCGGUGGGAACGACUUGCUCUUUCGGUGAGACCGAAAAGUUACAAGAAGGAAACAUAGAGUUUACCUUGCAUUCUCGGUGGGACCGAUUCGCUCUUUCGGUGAGACCGAAAAGUUACGAAAGGGAAACAGAGAGUUUGCAAGCCCAUCUCGGUCAGACCGAGAUCCUUAUCGGUAGGACCGAAUUGCUAGGGUUUGGCAGUGGCAAGUGACAAGUGAAACUCGGUGGCGCCAGAUUGACAGAAUCGGUAUGACCGAGUUUGGCUUAGGGUUUAGGUCAUUUGUGGAUAUGGAAAGGUGGUUGAGGAUUUUGGAGCAUAUCACUAAGCACAUAAAGCAAGAGGCUCAUUAAGCAACACCUCAUCCCUCCUUGAUAGUAUUGGCUUUUCCUAAAGACUCAAUGUGAUCUUGGAUCACUAAAAUAUAAAAUGAAGAGUCUUGAACUUUUGAGCUUGAG
rnacentral:lncRNA from 1 species